CCUCUUGAGAGAAUUAAUUUUCCAAUAGCUAAUAUUCAAAAGCCACCAACUUGAAACCGCAAACAAACCUCAAAGUUUGGGACGUGUGGAAUUUUUUGUUGCUGUAAUUGUAGUUGUUUUUGAUUUACUGGAAAACGUAGGAGGAAGUAAUCGUUGUUUUGUUUUUCUUUGACUUUGUUCACACGUGAUAGAGUAAUAUGGUUGGGAGGAUUUUUGUUUGGGAUUGUAAUGGUGAGAGAGUCUAUUUUUUUUUUUUUUGUCUUUUUUCCCUUUUGGUUGGCUGAAUAAUCUCCUCCCCUUUGUGCAGAUGUGCCUCCCUUUUUUUUGUGUUGUGUGGUUAAUAUAUAUGGAGUACUAUUGUGUGCUUGUGUGUGGACGUGGGAAGUUGAGGGAGGGACUGAUGGGAGUGUGUUGGAGGGAAAAUAGGGAUGUGGUUUUAGGGUAUCGGAAUGGUAGUUUAGGAUUUUUUUUUUUAAUUAGUAUUUUAAAUAAAAUAAAAAUAAUAAAAUCUAUUUAAAACUAACAAAAUACAAAAUAAGUUAAUUAGCUAGUGUUAGAAAUAUGAUUAAAAAAUAUUAAUAUCACAACAUUUUUUAUUAAAAGUUGAAAGAAGAAAACAAAUAUAAUUUAGAAAAAUUUCUUUUUUUUCUAAAAAUAAAUAAACAAUAAAAUAAAAACUUAUUUAAAAUGUGACUCUAUUUUUGUAGUUUUCAAAAUUUUUAAAAUAAAUUUAGUAAAAAUAAGAUAAAUUUAAAAUAUCUAAUUUAGACCCUAAAAUAAAUUGAACACUAAAAUGGCAAAAAAAAAUAGUUAGAUUUGGUAAAAAAUUAGAUGUUUACGGCACGUACUAGGGAAUCGAGAGUUUCCUGCUCUUCACGACCUUUCAAUUGAUGAUUGUCCCAAGUUGGUUGGGAAGUUCCCCGAGAAUCUUUGCUCUCUGACAGAAUUGAGAAUCUCAAGAUGUCCUGAACUCAAUUUGGAGACGCCCAUCCAACUUUCAAUUCUAAAAAGAUUUGAAGUUGAUGGUUCUCGUAAGGCUGGAGUUCUGUUUGAUGAAGCUGAACUGUUUGCCUCCCAACUUGACGGAAUGAAGCAGAUUGAGGAAUUAUCUAUUUGUUAUUGCAACUCUCUUACCUCCUAUCCUACCAGCAUUCUGUCGAGUUUGUUGAAGAAAAUAGGGAUAUAUUGUUGCCGAAAAUUGAAAUUGGAAGAAAAUAUGAUGAAUUCAUACAUAUUUCUGGAGGAAUUGAUUCUAUAUCAUCACCUGAGUUGGUCCCAAGAGCACGCUAUUUGAGGGUAAAUAGGUGUCAAAACCUUACUAGGUUUUUGAUUCCUAGUGGGACUGAAACACUCAAUAUUUGGAGUUGUGAGAAUCUUGAAAUACUUUCGGUGGCAUGUGGCACCAGAUGACGUCAUUGUAUAUUGUCGGAUGCAAAAAGCUAAAGAGGCUGCCAGAAUGUAUGCAGGAUCUCGUUGUCCAGAAAUAGAGUCCUUUCCUAAUGGAGGAUUGCCCUUCAAUUUACAAUUCCUUUCAAUCAACAAUUGCGAGAAACUGGUGAACGGCCGAAAGAAGUGGCGUCUACAGAGACUCUCCUCUCUCAGAGAUUUGUACAUCUACCACGAUGGCAGUGACGAAGAGAUUGUUGGUGGUGAGAAUUGGGAGUUGCCUUGCUCUAUUCAAAGGCUUAUCAUAACCAAUCUGAAAGCAUUAAGCAGCCGACUUCUCAAAAGCCUCACCUCUCUUGAAUAUCUAUGGACUUGUAAUUUGCCUCAAAUUCAGUCACUGCUGGAACAAGGGCUUCCCUCCUCUCUUUCUGAGCUUUAUUUAUACGACCAUGAUGAGCUCCAUUCACUACCGACCGAAGGUCUUCGGCACCUCACUUCGCUUCGACGUCUACAGAUCAAAAAUUGCCCUAAUCUCCAAUCACUUCCCGAAUCAGCGCUGCCCUCCUCCCUCUCUGUGCUGACCAUCGAAGAUUGCCCUAAUCUCCAAUCCGUUCCAGUAAAAUGGAUUUCCUCUUCCCUCUCUAAACUAUCUAUUUACAAAUGCUCAUUGCUCGAACCACUCCUGGAAUUUGACAAGGGGGAGUACUGGCCAGAAAUUGCUCAUAUUCCUGAAAUAUAUAUGGGUGUCUCAAUAUUUGACAACGAAUGCCUGUGAUGAUUAAUAAAAAAGGAGCUCCCACACAUGUAAGUUUUUCUUUUUCCUCAGUAGCUUUUUAUUUUUGCUUAUUACUCCCCGUUGCUUGUUUGUUAAUUAUUUUCAAAGCUAUUGGGAAACAUAUUUCACUUUUUUUCAAAGAAAUCAUAAAGUAUGAACUUAUAAGCUUUAACCACGACUGACUUAACAAGAAUGAAACAAUUGGAACAAUUAUAAUUGGGAGGAAUAAUUAGUGGAGUUUUUUCAAAAGUAAAAAAAAAAAAAAAGUUCGAGGUAAAUUCUAAGUUUUUAAAGUGCCCAAAAACUAUAAUUUCACCCCAAAAACAUUAUUUUUUUCGUCCAAAGAUGAAGAUCAUGCUAUUGAAAAUACGACUUACUGUCUAGAUAACGUGACAGUUACCUUUGAAAACUUCUCCUUGCUUGUCUAUUAGUUUUUUUCACUUCGUUGAUCCAUUUAUUAUUGCAGGAGUUGUUCAAUCAAUUUGCAGAACCACUAAGAAGUGCACAAUAGACAGUUUUUUGUCAUUGUAAGAGUUGCUCAAUCUUUGAGCUGCAUAUAUAUCAUUGACGUAAAUCUCCAAUCGCUUCCAGAACCAUCAGACUGUCUUCUUCCAUGUCUGAACUAUGUCGUCAUGAAUUUUGAGAAAGGAGGUUACUUGCCAUAAAUUGCUUAUAUCUCCUACAUCAAGGUUGAUCGGGAAUACCUGUAAUGUUUUAAAACGAGUGCUGCUCUGAAAAAUGUAAUUUUUCAUUACUUCUCUUUUCUUGUUUGUUAAUUCUUUUCCUUUGUUAAAUCUUGUUGAGCAGCGUGUAGCGUAUAUUGCCACUGCGAAGCUGAGGAAGCAUCUUGAGAUGAGCAUGAAAAAUGAUAAAAAAGGUAACACGUUGCAACUAUAGAAGUUUUUAUACAUCGUGAGAAAAAAGACCUAGUUUAGGUAGAAAACGGGAGUAAUAAUUUUAUCUAGGAAAGUUCAUAGCAAAAUGUAAUAUUAACAAAUUAGAAGCCUUUUUAUCAUUCACAAUACGUUGAUAUGUCAGCCCCGUAUAUAUAUAUAUAGGUCUUUUGAAAUAUGAGUCAUUUUUUAUUUGAAAAAGCUAGAUAUGAAAUAGACGUAUCACUGUGAAUACGCCUCCCUAUGCAUUACUUGAAAUUUCAUCAAAUAAUUUUUACCUUUGUGCUUUGGUAACUGUAACACCCCGUAUUUUUGGGCUAGAGUUUAGACCGUCGUUUCUACGUAUAUAGACCCGAACUGAAUUAUUAUUUAUUAACAUACGUGUGGUAAACACUCCUAUCGUAAUGCCCCGUAAAAUUCUCGAGUCGAUUUCAUUUUUAGUGUUAUGUUUGAGGGGCUAACAACUAGAAUAUUUUUCUAAGUGUAAUGAGGACUUAGAGUCAUUUUAGCUAGUAAUCUUCGGAAUACAACUUUUCAACCUUCCCGACAUCCGUUUUUAGAUUUUCAAGUUGCGUUACGAUCGAGAAAGUUCAUAGUACAUCUCGGAUAAGUUUUGGAAUUUUUUGGAACGCAUAAGGCUGCGUUUGGAUUUCAAAACAGUAGCAAAACGCAUUUCAGGGUCAAUUUCAAACAACCAUAACUCUCUGAAUAUAAUGAACUGAGAGAGCUGCUACCUAUCAAAUGAAAGAUCUUUGAGUCUUCUUUCCAAUGCAACUGGUUUCAUCCAAAUCCAACAUUUGAGUAAGGAUUUAUACCCGUUUUACUUCAGCCUAUCAGCUUAUCAACUGAGGGACAGUUUCGAAUUUGUUUGUUAGUCAUUUCACUUCACCCAAAUUUCGUCUAUAACACCAGAUUUAGCCCCCAAUUCAUCAAAAUAUAAUCCUUUUCUCAAAUUUUCUACCAAGAACACCCCUUAGGGUUUCAAAAUAAAACCCCCAAUAACUCAAGAUUCAACCAUGGGUUUUCAAAACAAAUUGAAGAUUUGGAAUCCCCGCAACGUAGGCUUCAAGAAGCACCUAUCAUAUUCACAUAUAGAGGUACGUGGGGUUAUCUCAAAAAUCUCAUGGUCUUAAAAAUUUAUGUUUUAAAAAUGGGGGUUUUGAAAUUAGAAUAUAAACAUGUUUCAAGCAUCUUUAUGAUAUUGAUUUGGUCUUUAGGCCUAAUUCCAAAGUUAUUUGAUAUAUGAUAUAUGUAUAUGCAUGUAUUCCAAAAAGAUGUUAACUUGAGAGCAUGAAUGAUAUGGAAUCCCUCUCUUGAUGUGAAUUUGUUUUAAAUGUUCAUAUAAUGUAAAUUGUUUGAAAACAUCUUGAAAAGCAUGACAUGAAAUAUUUUGAGAAUUGAUAUGAUUUUGACUUGAAAACGAGAGGGCUAUUUGUGUUGAAACAUGUUGAAUACAAUGAUUGAAUGAGAAGAAUGAUGUGAUAUUGAUGGCUUGCAAGUCGGGUAUGGCGAUACCCUAUAGAAUAUGAUAUGUGAUUGAAUCAGAUGUAAUUUGAAUGCAUUGAUUUUUCAUGAGAUAGGUGGAUGCCCGAAGAAGGCGUUUGAGUGUACAGGCUCAUCGCUGAAAACCGAGUUUGCCGACAUGGGAAUUUGGUACCCUGCUUUGUGAUCUUGUGUACCUGACUUUAUGUCAUUCCCAAAUUGGGACUAUGGUUAGGAGCCCUGUUUUGUGAUCUUGUUCACUACCAUUGGGUCAAGACACCCUGCUGUGUGAUCUUGUGUGUCUUCCCCUUACUUAUACUCUAAUCUCGGUGGCAACCGAGGUUUGACAGUUGGUGUAAUUGUGAUAUGUAGGGUAUUCCACCUAACUCAGCUGCAUUGCAUUGUUGUUGAAAAUAAUUACAUUACACCCAUGUGUUUUCAAAUGAUUUGAUAUGAAACUGCUUUAUAAUGGCUCUCAACUAUAUUUUGUAAAAAUAUUAUGUUUUGUUUUGAUAUCUCUGCGUACCAGUACUUUUGUAUUGACCCUCUUCCCUCCCAGGUUCUAAGGCACAGUCUAGGGGUCCAGAAAAUCAGUAGAUUUCCUCAGACAGAUUCGCAAAGUCACUUGGUGAGCCUUCUAUAUUUUGGAAGGCCUGAUAUCUGGCAGUUUCAUUUAUCAUUUAUUAGUUUUGGGUCUACUGGGGGCCUUGUCCCAGUUUUCAGAUAGAUAUUUGUUUCAGUCAUGCAGUAGAGAUUUCGCAGAUGUUAUAGAGAUGUUGAUUGAGAUUUGUGGAACAUUAUUCCCCAUUGUUGUUUUCAUAUGAUUCUUGACCAUGUUUCCGUUAUAUUGUGUAUCUUCCGCAUUUUUUUUUCAUAUAAGUCAUGUGCAUGAUUACCAGAUAGAUAAGGGGUGUUUCGGGCCUUGAUGGUUUGGAAUACUCGUCACGGCCAGGGCCCCGGUUCGAGUCGUGACAGUAACGUGUAGAAUCUUAUUAUCCUCCGGAAAUGCAGAGUCUCCAAUAGAAUAUCCAAGGUACAUGUGGAAGAAAAUUCUGGUUCCUAUAUAUCAAAAAUAUGAAAGGUUAACAUCACCCAGACCCCACUUGGUGGGAAUAUACUGGGUAUGUUGGUGGUGUAUGAAAGGCUAACAUCUGAAAGCAUUAGAACAAUGAAUUACUUGGCUUCAACUAUUAGCUAGUUUUAAAUCUUUCAUUUUUUUCUUGAUCAGGAUUUUGGUAACAAUAUGCUCUUAGCUCAAUUGGUGAAAGAAAAAUCGUGCUAACGUUCUACCUUGAAAGGACAAUCACCUCGACUGUGGUCUGGGAGCAAACUAUAAGUGAAGAGAAGUGCUUCUCUUUUGUGUGGAAUUUGACUGUAGUACUCUUUGAUCAGAACAUCUGGAAUACAAUUUUUUUUUUUGGAUAACAGUGGUGUCCAGGCCAACUUUCACGUAGGGGAUACCUGCCACCUCCGACCAGCAACAGAUAUCAAUUAACGUUGUCCCCCAAGGUUAGGACAGAUGGAAAGAAUCACCUAGUGGUUUUUUGUCUCCGUUGAGGUUUGAACCUUAUGGUUCUCAACCCAUUUCAUUGACCACUAGGCCACACCCUUGGGUGUACAUCUAGACUACAAUCUAGCUUGAACCUUCGGGUAGACUCUGCAGUAUCAACAACCAUAGCACAUGGAGUAUGGUAGAAUUCCUCGGUACGGUCAUUCAAGAAUCAUGUGGCGCGGCAAAAGGUGUUUCCGUUACUUCUGGAAUAGGGGGAUUCCUUGUUAUUAAGGUGUCAAGACGCCCGAAUGUCACAAGCGGAAGCAACUGGUACUUUGAUCAUUCAAUUGACUCCUUUCUGCCAGUCCGUGCUUGCUGUCAUGCUGGCACAAGCAGGGAUGUCGAUCGGUUAAACCUACUAUUAGAUUUUUCAGAUCAAUUCUUCGCUACAAUCACUUUGAUGUAAGUUGAACACCAAUUAGGAGUAGUCAUUUUCUAGUACCACUUACAUGAUCCAGUAGUGGUAUUAGCUAUCAGAACUGAUAUGUUGUCCAAACUAUGCACAUCUUCCAUUUUAUCCUUCUGUCAAGACCAGAACCGGGGCCCUGGCCGUGACGAGCAUUCCGAACCAUGAAGGCGCGAAACACCCUUAUCUGUCUGGUAAUUCAUGCACAUAAUUCGUAUGAUAACAGAAAUGCAGAAUAUAAACAAUAUUACGGAAACAUGGUCAAGAAUCAUAUGAAAUCAAUAACGGGGAAUAGUGCCCCUAAAUCUCUAUCAACAUCUGAAAAGCCGUCUGCGAAAUCUUUACUACAUGACUGAAAUAAUAACUAUCUGAAAACUGGGACAAGGCCCCCAGUAGACCCAAAACUACUAAAUGAUAAAUGAAAUAGCAGACAUCAGGCCUUUCGAAAUAUAGAAGGCUUACCACUUGAUUCUGCGAUCUGUCGGAAGAAAUCUACUGGUUAUUUGGACCCCUACACUGUGCCUCCGAACCUGGGAGGGAAGGGGGUCAAUACAAAAGUACUGGUACGCAGAGAAAUCAAAACAGAAAUAUAAUAUAUAUAUUUUUACACAAUAUAGGUGAGAGCCAUUAUAAAGAAGUUUCAUAUCAAAUCAUUUGAAAACACAUGGGCAUAAUAUAAUAAUUUUUCAACACCAAUGCAAUGCAUUUGAGCUAGGUGGAAUACCGUACAAUUUGUAAUUCCACGACUAUGUGGAAUCCGCUUUUUAGCUCGAUGGCCGAGCCUCCAAUCCAAGUAGCCGCCAGGAUUUGGAGCCAGUGAUACCCCCAUGUGAGCACACCGCGGGAAUCCCCCAUGUGAGAUCCCCCAAAUAAUUUUAUUAAUCCUCCCAUGUAGGAUACAAUAUCAUAUAACCCGCAUCGGCAACUAUGGUUUCCAACGAUGAGCCCUUUCACUCAAACGCCUUCUUUGGGUUCACCUUUCUCAUGAAGCUUAAUGCACUCAAACUUUGUUCAAAUCAAUCACAUAUCAUACUCUGUAGGGUAUCGCCAUACCCGACUUGCAAGUCAUCAGUAUCAUAUCAUUCUCUUCAUUCAAUCAUCAUAUGCAACAUAUUUCUACAUGAACAAAACAACCCUCUCUUUGAAAGUCAAAGACCAUAUCCAAAUCAUGACAUUUUUUUAAGACAUUUCAUGACAUGCAUUUCAAGAUGAUUUCAAAUAAUUCAUAUCAUGUGAAAAUUUAAAACAACAUCAUAUCAAGAGAGGGGUUCCAUGUAAAUCAUGCUCUCAAUUUAUCAUCAUUAUGAAACACAUGCCUAUGCAUAUAUAAUAUAUCAAAUCACCUUGGAAUUAGGCCUUAAGACCAAAUCAAUAUCAUAAAACGUUUAAAACAUAAUCAUAUUCGUAAUUUCAAAACUCCCAUUUUGAAAACAUGAAUUUUUAAAGCCCAUGAGAUUUUUAGGAUAACCCGACGUACCUCGAUAUGCAGAAAUAAUAGGUGCUUCUUGAAGCCUACGUUGCGGGGAUUUCAAAUCUUCAAUUUGUUUUGAAAACCCACGAUUGAAUCUUGAACUACUUGGGUUUUUAUUUUGAAACCCUAGAGAGUGUUCUUGAGAGAAAAUUUGAGAAUAUAAUUAUAUUUUGAUGAAUUGAGGGACGAAAUUUGGGUGAGGUGAAAUGACUAAAAUGCCCCUAAGAAAACAAACAAAGUCGAAACUGUCCCUCAAUUGACAAGCUGACAGGCUGAAGUAAAACGGAUAUAACUCCUUACUCAGAUGUUGGAUUUGGAUGAAACUAGUUGCAUUGGAAAGAAGACUCAAAGAGAUUUCAUUUGAUAGGUAGCAGAUCUCCCAGUUCAUUAUAUUCAGAGAGUUAUGAUCAUUUGAAGUUGACCCUGAAAUGCUGAAAACUGGGAAAUAGGCUAUGCGUUUUGCUACUGUUUUGAAAUCCAAACGCAGCCUUAUGCGUUCCGAAAAUUUCGAAACUUAUCCGAGAUGUACUGUGAGAUUUCCCGAUCAUAACGGAACUUGAAAAUCUAAAAACGGAUGUCGGGAAGGUUGAAAAGUUGUAUCCCGAAGAUUGCCAGCUAAAAUGACUCUAAGUCCUCAUUACACUUAGAAAAAUUUUCAAGUUUUUAAGUCUAAGAGCACUCUAUUAAAGUCUAAUCCAUGCACGACUUUUACGGGGUGUUACACCUUCUACGGAUGAGACUUCUCCAUCAUCAGCUUGUGUAGUCGAUGAAGUAUUCUGUUGGCUUUGUAAUUAUCCAAAACAGGUGACUGUUUACGAUGGUGUAAAAAUUUGUUUUUGGGAUUACCUGACCGGACGUGGUUUUAUCCCGGUUAUAUUUGUCUUGGAUUAUCUGGAGGGGAACUUUGUUUUGCAUUGAAUAGUGGUACAAUCAUCUCGUGUUGGCGACUCAACAAUUUUCCUAGUCGAGACGCAGUAUGGGUUUGGAAGUAUGAUAUACAUGUUUCUAUUGUAGUUAAGAAAUGUCGAGAGGAUUUUGGACUUGGAGGAGGCAAUGCUCUUGGUUUUGAGGUUCGGAACAUGGUUUUUCAUCCUGCUCUUCCGGACAUCUUGUAUUUGCAAAUAAGAAGCAAGGUUAUUUCUUAUAAUGUGAAAACGAGUACUGCAGAACUUGUGCAUGAUUUUGGAGAAGCUUGGCGAAUGACAGUACACUACAAAUUGUUUUCUUAUGAGUGGCCUCAAUGGCCGCGUAUCCAGUAGACCAUCAACAGGUAUUAUUACAUUUACUAUUUUACUUUGAACUUAGAUGUAGAUAACUCUUCGUGGACUUCAUUUUAGAUUUAUAGUAGGCGGGAGUGACCCUUUUUGAAAAAUAGAAGUUCCGUUUGGUAUCAAGCCACUACAAAGUUUUUAUGAAAGUGACUUAUUUUCAUCUAUGUUGGUUGAGUUAGCUUAAAUAUCUGGUGUUCUACGGUUUAAGCUUAUUGUGGAAAUCUUUGAUAGUAGCUUGUUUCGGAUACUGUUUUUGAACUUAUUGGAUGUCAUCUUUAGUUGCUAAUCCGUCUUAUAUAGUGGUUUUAUUUUUGAUAAUUUGUGACCUAGUGUUGGAAAGAACAAUGUAGGACCAAGCCUCGACAUUGCUUUAUUUAUGGUCCAGUUGACGAUGCUGGAGUACUCUUGCUCUUUUGUUCUCACCCUUGCUUUUUGAGCAUCUGUUGUGCAGGUUCUGCGCCCAAUACUAGCGGUACAUGAUCCUCACUUUGAGUUGGAGAUUAUAGAAGUUCCGGGAGGUAGUUGUUUGGCUGUUCCACCGCAUCUGGAUAUCUGUAUCUUCUUUAUUUUCUGUCAUUAUCCUUUGGACAGUUUGUAUAAAUUUCGGAUUCUUACUCAUCUUGUCUUAGAAGCUUUGCACUCAUGUCACUGUAUUUUUUGGGUUGUAAACUGUAUUCUUCCGAAUUUCUGUGUUGAUUUAUGAAACUAUGACUUCAAGACUUUACUUCCGCUACUUUUCUACUUCUAUUCCACAUUUGCUUACCUAUCUUUGGGUUGUGGAUAGAUGCCAUCAUGACCUUUGUUUCUGGGCCGUGACAGUUCUGUUCAUGCUGAUUAUGAUUUCUCAUACUGUACAACCGUGAGACUGAGGCGAUGGAAUCAUGUUCCAGUUCAUGAUUAUUCUGGAGUUCAGUGACUACUAAUCGGUUUUAUUGUGUUUGUAUCAGUCCUACUUAUAACAAUGUCGUGUUCCAGAACAAUAGCUGAAGUUCUGUUGCUGGUGGGAAGUGAUAAGUAUCCCGUGGAAUUAGUCGAGAUGCAUGAAAGCUGACCCGAACACUAUUUUAUUUUCCCUUAAAACAACUUAAAGUGUCGGGCUACCACUAUUUUAUUUUCCCAUUUGGGUUUGAAAUUUCUAGAUUGACUAAUUGGAAUUCGCGCUAAGAAUGCUCGUAAGUCUAACCGAGACCUCUAAUUAAGAUGUUCAAACGGAGUCUUUACUAAUCACACCUUUUCUUUCUUUACACAAAUAUAAGAUGAUUCUUUGUUCAAUUGAAACAUCUUUCUCUUAUCUUAUCACCCUUGAGUCAAAUCGAGAUCUCUAAUUAAAGCUGAAGCUCAAAUAGAGCCUUAUCAAAUGGUGAAGGACAAAUUCCCCUUUGUAACUUCAGCGCCACAGAGCUCGAGAUGGCAACAAAGAGCUAAUAAGAGUAAGAAAUAAAUUGUAGGCUAUGCAAUAUAUCACAACACAGUAUAAAAUUUGGAAGAAAAAGCGAAGCAUAAGGCGGCAUGUCUUUAUAGUUUACACAAGCAAAAAGCCUAGAAAUACCAUAGACACCUCAAAUUAUACAGGUUCUGUCAAACAUCGCUUCCGUGAAGACACAGCGAAUUCUAAAAUCUGGAACGCACGAUACCUGUAUAGUUCCUUCAUCAAACCUAGCCAAUGCAGCAGUCAGUUAUUACUAUGAACCCUCGGCACCAACAGUUGGAUAUGGAAAGCGGAGAAGUUCCAAAAAGUCUUCAAUGAGUAUUGUCGAGAAAUUGUUACCCCCUUUUCUGAGAUUUUUGCAACCUACAAGUCUGUGAAGUAUCAGAAUGAAAUCACAUAGAAAGUUCAGAAAAAUCACAAAAGCAAUCUUUACAUCCGAUAAUCACAUUCAACUCCGAAUGCAAAGUUCGCAGCAAGUUCUGCAAGUUUAUGCCUAAGCUUUCCAAGCCAACACAACCUUACCACUAUUUUUCCCUUAUUCCAGCUAAAGUAUAAACAAGAAACCAAUUGUUAAGUCCUUAGUUUUGAUGUUUGACGAACUGCAUGUAGGGGACCUGUUUCCUAAAGAUUGUGUGAUGACAAAGCUGGUUGCUACUACUCGGGGAACAAGUUGGGCUUACCUGUCACCGGUACAAAAGUUGGUGAAAAGUUGUUGCCACCUUUUUGUCCCAACCAUUGAUAUUCCUCUCAGGUUUUCUUGUGUCGUAAAAUAUAUUGUUCAUCUUCUCCAACAAGAAAAUCAUGCUUCCAUAUACUUACAACAAAUAUUUCUCUUGAAGCUCUUAAAUCAAAGACUCUUUUUGCAAUAAGGAACUGAUAGCUCAUCAAGUUAUACUUUAUUUCCUUGUUGUAUUUGAGUCUUUGUAAGGUGUUCUAAAACGUUUGCCUACUGUUGCUUGUAUGAUUAUUAGUAGGUGUAGUGGUGUAAACCUGAUUUCUUUGUAAUCAUCUAGAGUUAGGUGAUUCUCAAGGCAGGUCGUGGUUUUUCUUCCUUGGACAAGGAAUUUCCACGUAAAAUUGUUGUGUCUGCUAUUUACUUUCUCCACGCAUUUUAUUGUGUAAGUUUUCUCCUGAUUCUUGUUGUUUGAGUUCAUCCGGGAACAGGUCCCAGAGUUGAGGAGCAACCCACUGCAACUCUUCACCAAUCUUCAGUCAAUUACAGCAGCUAUCUACAUGGAGCAAAUGCUCUGGACUUUGAAGAUCAAAGUAUGAGCAUACAAAAGACAACACCAAAUCUGUGUUAGGUGUGGAGCCUGAUUAAUAUAUGAUGUAUUGUUCAUAUAUUAAUGUUCACGCGGUUCAACCUCCAAAUUUUAGGCACUGUAGCACUUAUUCUCAUUUCUCUGUGUAACUAUACACACCCUAAAUCAUUAAUAUAAAUAGCCCAUCCGCCGUGGAGUUUACCUACGGGUGUUACCACGAAAUUAUUUCUCUCUCUCUUUCUCUCUCUUCACGAAAUUUCUCUCUAACUUUCUUCAUCUCUUCCGCUAGAUCUAGUGAGUGUGGAAGGUAAUCGAUCCUAACAAUCAGUUUAAAAACAAUACCCGAAACCAGCUACUAUUACAGACUUCCACAGUAAGCUCAAACCAUAAAACGCCAGCUAUUUAAGUCAACUCAACCAACAUAGAUGAAAAUAAGUCACUUUUAUAUACACACUACAAUGGCUCGAUAUCAACGGAACUUCUUUUGUACAACAAGUAACAAGGGUCAUUCCCUCCCUACUGUAAGUCUAAAAAGAAGUCCACAAAGAAUUGUUAUUUCUCAGUUCAAUGUAAAUAAGUGAAAGUAUUAGACGAAAUACAAAUAUGCAAUACCUGUUGAUGGUCUACUGGAGAGGCGGCCAUUGAGGCCACUCAUAGGAAAACAACUUGUAGUGUACUGUCUUCCGCCAAGCUUCUCCAAAUUCAUGCACAAGUUCUGCACUACUCGUUUUCACGUUAUAAGAAAUAACCUUUCUUCUUAUUUGCAAAUACAAGAUGUCCGGAAGAGCAAGAUGAAAAACCAUGUUCCGAACCUUAAAACCAAGAGCAUUGCCUCCUCCAAGUCCAAAAUCCUCUCGACAUUUCUGAACUACAGUAGCAACAUCUAUAUUAUACUUCCAAACCCAGACUGCAUCUCGACUAGGAAAAUUGUUGAGUCGCCAACACGAGAUGGUUGUACCACUAUUCGAUGCAAAACAGAGUUCCCCACCAGAUAAUCCAAGACAACCAGAACCGCGAGAAAACCACAUCUGGUCAGGUAAUCCCAAAGUCCAAAAACACUUUUUUACACUAUCAUAAACAGUCACCCAGUGUGCUUCAUUACAAAGCCAACAGAAAACUUCAUCGACUGCACAAGCUGAUGAUGACGAAGUCUCAUCCCUAGAAGGAUAAAAUCGAAUAGGUGCAUCAAGAGUUGCAGUCCAAAUAUUUGUUUCUGAAGAGAAACUUUCAAUUGUUACACUGUAGUGGAGGUCAUGAAAAUAAGGCUGAUGUACUCCAUAGCGAACUAUAGUAAAGGAGACAGAGCCAUCUGUCUCCUUGACCGUAAAUCCAACAUAUGGAUCAUCCAUAAGAAUUUGAGUUUUAGGGACAUCCAAACGUUGCCUUGUGGCUGGAUUAUAAACGUAAUAAAUCCUCUGCCGGCUUUUAAGCUUAUUGCAUAGUAGAAAACCAUCUGAAGAAGCAACAACAUACACUCUCUCCCCGAUAAAACUAAUUGAUUCAUCCAAACUAGUACCGAUUACAAGUGAUGACUCCUUCGACGAGAAGAAGAAACGACUUUUCAAACGUUUCUCUACGCAAAAGAAGCCGAGUUGGUAUGGUUUAGGCCACUGAAGACGACAACGGUAAAUUUCAGCAAUGUACUUUCGCCAAUCCUUUGAUAUGCAUUUAAACCUUGCUAGCGAUUUCGAAGGCAAACGAUUCAAUAUGUUGGUUAUAAUUUCCUCACAAACAUACAGUUUGCAUGAACGACGUUCCAUUGUGAUGUGCUGUGUAGGAUUAGAAGUGGAACUUUCGCCCUAAAAUAUUUAGGGUUGGUCUUGAUGUUUUGUCCCCAUAAAUAAUGUCUUAUAAAAAUGGCCUCUAUUAAGGGCCCAUGUUCGGGCCCGUUUGAUAAAUUUUGCUGGCAAACAUUCUAACUAUCCAUAAUGCAGACAUUCAAGAUAAUAAACUUGCACAAGCCAAACAUUCAUGAGAUUUCAAAGCAAUAAAACAACACAAUUGAUCAGAAAUUCUGCCUUACAGGCAAAUCUUGGAAUUUAUUUAGCGGAUAAAAAUUCAAGACUACAUACUUUGGGAGUGUGUGUAUGUGCGUGGGGGUGGGGUGGGGUGUGGGGACCGGGACAAAAAGUUCAAGACCGGCCACUGGGGAUAUUUGAACAUGUUAGUCAUGUAAUUUUUACAUGUAUGUUUGCACCUCAGUCCUACAUGACUUAAAUAGAUUAAAAACAGGUUGAAAUUUCAAACAUGCGCGUCUAACAAAAAAACAAUAGUUGUCCGAUAAGAACCCCAGGACUCAUGGGCACCCCUAAUACCACUCAUAUUGUAUCUUAGAUAAAUUCAGUGUCAAGAUUGAAAAAUUGCUCGCGAUUUUAUAUUUAACAGUUGACGUUUGAACAUAAGAAAAUGUAAUAUUUGAAAGAAAAAAAUAAAGGUUGAACAGGAUAUUUGGAAGUUGUGUUUGGAUAAUCAUUUAACUUGAAAAAGAAUAGAAGUUUUGUGAGCAGAGAGUUCACCUGAAAAUUGGUCAAAACUACUUUUUUCAAACUUGAAACUCGUUUUCUAUGUUCUUUUCAAAAAUCUGUCAAUUAAUAACCAAAAACUGUUUUGAAAAAAAUCAUAUCCAAACAGCCCUUAGACUAGUAUCUAAGAAGAAAAAUAUUCAAGUCUUUUUCAGGUUGAUCAGAGUAGUAGCAUCAGAAUCUACUUGGAUUGAACCUGAUGAAUUGAAUAUGGUCAAAAGCAAAUCGCUACAUCUAAAACGAUCUUUAAGGUCAUUCACGCAAUUGUCUCUGUAGCGCUGCUACCGAUGGAUCAAGAUAUGCAAAAGCAUAAGUGUGAAAAGGAUAUUGAAGAAUUUCUACAGAAAGCACGGAUACAUGUGGCGUAGUCGUGCUACGCACAACUUGGUGAUGACUUGUAUGCUGAGGUUGAACAGAUUAAUUCUUAUCACAAGCAGCAUCAGGAGGAAGUAACCGAUAGAAAUUCUGUUGUAAUGUUUAAAGCAAUUGAUAUAUACUUGGACAAGCACAGAUAUCUCAUGUUUUCAUUUUAUGUCAUAGAUGUUGAGGUGAAGCUAAUCCGUGAUAUCUAUCAUAGUCUGGUGUUUAUUGUAUUUCGACUAUCGCACUAUUUUAUUGUUGUUAUUGUUUCUUUCUUGUAGACUUUGUACUGUUUCCUUGUUCAUUGCGAUAUUUCUUCACCGUUUCCCUCUUUUACUGGAUUUAUUGCACCUGAGCUGAGGAUCUUUCGGAAACUUCCGCUAAUUUUUUUUAGAUAACCGUGGUGUACGGAUCAGCUUUCUCGCACCUCAACUAAUUCCACGGGAUACUUAUCACUUCCCACCAGCAACAGAACUUCAACUAUUGUUCUGCAACACGACAUUGUUAUAAGUAGGACGGACACUACAAACACAAUAAAACCGAUUAGUAGUCACUGAACUCCAGAAUAAUCAUGAACUGGAACAUGAUUCCAUCGCCUCAGUCUCACGGUUGUACAGUAUGAGAAAUCAUAAUCAGCAUGAACAGAACUGUCACGGCCCAGAAACAAAGGUCAUGAUGGCAUCUAUCCACAACCCAAAGAUAGGUAAGCAAAUGUGGAAUAGAAGUAGAAAAGUAGCAGAAGUAAAGUCUUAAAUCAACACAGAAAUUAGAAAGAAUACAGUUUUCAACCCCCAAAAUACAGUGACAUGAGUGCAAAACAUCGAAGACAACAUGAGUAAGAAUCCAAAAUUUAUACAAACUGUCCGAAGGAUAAUGACAGAAAAUAAAGAAGAUACUGACAUCCGGAUGCGGUGGAACAGCCAAACAACUACCUCCUGGAACUUCGAUAUUCUCCAAGUGAGGAUCACGUACGCUAGUAUUGGGCUCAGAACCUGCACAACAGAUGCGCAAAAAGCAAGGGUGAGUACAAAAGAACAAGAGUACUUCAACAUCGUCAACUGGAUCAUAAAUAAAGCAAUGUCGAGGCGUGGUCCUACAUAGUUAUUUCCAACACUAGGUCACAAAUUAUCAAAAAUAAAACCACUAUAUAAGAUGGACUAGCAACUAAAGAUGAUAUCAAAUCAGUUCAAAAACAGUAUCCGAAACCAGCUACCAUCAAAGAUUGCCACAAUAAGUUCACACCGUAGCCACAAUAAGUUCACACCGUAGAACACCAGCUAUUUAAGCUAACUCAACCAACAUAGAUGAAAAUAAGUCACUUUCAUAAACACUUUAUAGUGGAUCGAUAUAUAUGGAUUUUCUUUUGUACAAAAAGGAUCACUCCCUCUUAUAAAAAGUUUAAAAACAAGUCCACAAAAAGUUAGUUACAUCAAAGUUCAAAGUAAAAUAGUAAAUGUUGAUAUUAAUUGAAGUACAAAUAUGUAAUACCUGUUGAUGGUCUACUGUAGACGCGUCGCGGCCACUGAGGCCACUCAUAGGAAAAAAAUUUGUAGUGGUGUGUCUUUCGCCAAGCUCCUCCAAAAUCAUAUACAAGUUCUGCAGUAUGCGCUUUCAAGUCAUAAGAAAUAACCUUGCCUCUUAUUUGCAAAUACAAGACGUGCAGAAGAGCAGAAUGAAAAAACAUGUUCUGAACCUCCUUAUCAAGAUCAUUGCCUCCUCCAAGUCCAAAAUCCUCAUCACAUCUCUGAACUGCAGCAGCAACACUUACAGCAUACUUAUUAACCCAUACUGCAUUAUCUCGACUAGGAAAAUUCCAAAUAAUGAUGUUUUUCCAACGAUUCAUUGCUAAAUAGAGUUUCCCACCAGAUAAUACAAGACAACACUGACCGGGAUGGACCAAUAUUUGUACAGGCAAUUCCAAAACCCAAAAACUCUUCUUUACUCUAUCAUAAACAGUGAUCAAUCCACAGUUAUCAAGCCAACAAAAUACUCCAUCAACGACACCAGCUGAUGAUGAUGAAGUCAGAUCCCAUGAGGGGUACAACUUAACAGGUACAUCAAGAAUUAGCUUAUUAGCAGUCCACACAUUAGUCUCUGAAGAGAAACUUUCAAUGUUUAUGCUGUACGUCCUAGGGAAAUUAAAGUUAUAAGCCAGAGGUAUUGCAUAUCGAACAAUAGUAAACGAAACAAAGUCAUUUUCCUCCUUUGCCAUAAAUCCAACGUAUGGAUCAACCAUAAGUAUUCGAGUUUCAGGGAGAUCCUAACGCUGCCUCAUGGCAGGAUUAUAAACAUAAAAAAUCCUCUGCCUGUUUCUAAGCUUGUUGAGUUUCAGGGAGAUCCUAACGCUGCCUCAUGGCAGGAUUAUAAACAUAAAAAAUCCUCUGCCUGUUUCUAAGCUUGUUGAACAGGAGAAAACCAUUGGAAGAAGCAACAACAUACACUCUCUCACCGAUAAAUUUGACUGAUGUAUCCAAGCCAGUACCGAUUAGCAAUGGCGAGUCCUUGGAUGAGAAGAAGAAACGACUUUGCAGACGUUUCUCUAUGCAAAAGAAACCGAUUAGGUAGGGUGCAAGCAACUGGAGACGACAACGGUAAAUUUCAGCAAUGUACUUUCGCCAGUCCUUUGAUACACAUUUAAAUCUUGCUACCGAUUUUAAAGGCAAGUGAUUCAAUAUGUUGAUUAUAAUUUCCUCGCAAAUAAAAAUUUGGAUUGACGGCGUUUCAUUCUAAUACAGUUGCAACCACUAUUCAACAAAUAUGACUUGUAUAAGAAUGGAAAAAACUUCACCUUAAUCAGAGGUCUUGCUUCUGAGUAUUGGCACGAAUUUUGAUUAGAAAAGACUUGAGAUAUCAAACCCUAAUAGGAAAAUGAAGAAGUAGAAACCCUCAAUUCAAUGCUAAGCUUUUAUUAUGCAAUUUAAAAAAAAAAACAUACAAAUACAAAAUAUUACAUCUACGCGGCGCAUAUUUACAAAUUACACCGCAUAACCCCUUUUUGUUUAUUGCAACAGUGCUGCAUGUUAGUUUGUUAAUAGUACUCCUAAACCUCCUUUUGUGAAGGAUAAAAGUGUUAUCCUUGUGUUUUAUUCUAAGGUAAGGUCGUCUUGUACUUAUUCUCAUGAUGUAUAACACCCCUAAUAACACAUAUAAAUCUUGUACAGAAAGGUAUAAUAUAUAAUAGGUGCUUAUACAUACUUCUACAUUUCAACGCAAGCUUAUAAAAAAAUUUAGUUUAGUCUCCUACGAACUUCAACUACAAAACUCUCAUUUGAUAUGGGUCAAAUAUUUUUCAAAUAGCUUCAAAUUUUAACCACAACUUCAACCGAAAGGCAAAAACACGAGAAUUUUAUGAAGAAUGGAAAUUUACCGCUACCUGAGCUUAUUACCUUAUCAAAUGGUGAAGGACAAAUUCCCCUUUGUAACUUCAGCGUCACAGCUCGAUAUGGCAACAAAGAGCUAAUAAGAGUAAGAAAUAAAUUGCAGGCUAUGUUGGGUAAAUAGUUUUCCCCAUGUAUCAUACCGUGCCAUUUUCCCUUCAUUUACGUGUCACAUUCAGGGAGUAAAAAUAAAUAUGGAAACAAAUAACGAAUUAUAUCUGUAAUACCCGCAAAAUUCCCUCAUCGUUAAGGCUUUCGAAAUGAACCAAAGAAGCUUACACUUAAAAUUUUGGCUAAGUAUUCCAACACUUAGUUUAUUUUUGAGUCCCUAGCUUCGGGGAUUUAUUUGAAGGCCUUCCCGAUAUCCGUUUUUCGAUUUUCAAGUUGCGUUACGAUCGUGGAAGUCCAUAGUACAUCUUGGGUGAGUUUCAAAAUUUUUGGACGUCGUUUAGGCUGCGUUUAGAUUUCGAACCAGUGAGCCCGCGCGAUAAGCGGGCGACGCCUGGCUAUAGCACCUCUAUAGACCAGGCGCCGCCUGGGUACUCCGGUGCUCCAGGACAGGCGACGCCUGGUAUACUCCGGUGCUCCAAUAACUUUUUCAAUCUUCAUCCGUCUUAAGCUCAAUAAUUGGUACUAUAGUACCAUUUUCCAGUUUCUGCCUCAGAGAAACAACACAGAAGCUCUGAAACAAAUUCAAGAUCCAUCCAAAUUCAUCCGUGAAAUUCCAAAAGUAACCCGUGAAUCAUAAUCCUCAAAUCAAGAUCUUCAAGGGACACCUAUUAUUUUCGCAAGUAGAGCUCUGGAAUUCAAAGUUCAUCUAAAGUACAUAGACCUGAGGUAUGUGGGGUUUGAACAAGAAUAAUCCUUCCGUUCUUGUGCCCAAGACUUAAUUUUUAUAAAGAUUACGUGAAUAUUUAUGUUGAAAUUGAUAUCAAUUCAAAUUAUUUUGAAUUUAUGGAAUUAUCAAUGAUUUGAGUAUUUGAAGACAUGAUAAUUUAUCUUGUUAUGAUUUGAAUUGAGAUAUACAUAUAUAUUUUGAUUUAUAUUUCCCUAUUAAGAAUUUAUGUUGUUGAAUAAAUUUUACGUUGAGUAUUGGAAAUGAAAUUAUGUUAUGAAAUAUUGAAAUUUUGAUAUUUAUGUUAUGAAUUAGUUUUCAAUAUUUUGAUUGAGAUAAAUUGAAGAUCUUGAGAUAAAUUUUGAAGAAGAAAUUCAGAUAUGAUUUUGAUGUAUAAAUCUUAAUAUUUUGGGUCCUAAAUAUAUGUGUGAUGAAAUUAUAAGGAGAUUUUGAUCUCGAGUCGUUGACAAGAUUUUAUGAGUAUUUCCAAAAGCAAAAAUUGUUGCUUCAAUAUGUGUUGAGACAAGAAAUCCAUGUUUGAUUGACUUAUGAAAAAGGGGUAGCAUAUUGGCUCCCGAUGCAAAGUAUUGAAAUUAUUUAUGAUGUGAACCUGAGGCUGAUUUUAAAUUUUGAGCUAUGUCCGGGAGUAGUAUUUAGCACCGAGCGGGAAGUGUGGUACUUCCCUAGAACUACGUGCCCCCGUAGGAUGUGAGCCUGAGCCUGAUAUAUAGUGAUCACUAGUGUUUGAAUUGAUAAUUAAGGUCCUGCUCCGAUGGUAAGGAUAGGACAGCUCUCCCCAACGUAGGUUGGACGUUGGACUCUAUGUAGCUCACAUGGUUUAUGUCGGUUAUAAGAUGAAUGAAUAUGUUUUGAAAGAUGGAUUUUGAGAAAGUUAUUAUUUCCGAAAGAUUGAGAUAUGAUGUUCUAAAGAGAAUUGUUUUGAGAUUUGAAUGUUCCACAAGUUUGAUAUUUGAGAUUUCUAAGUUUCCAAGUCCAAAAGAAUGUAAAGUUUCUCAAAUCCUAAUUUUUGAGUUUAUCAAGUUUGAGUCCUUUAGUUUUGAGGAAGUAUGAGUUUGAAAGUAUUAAUUAAAGAUCUUUUGAGUUUAUGAGUUUUGAGAAUAAGAAGAGAAAUUUAGAUUUUGAGAUGAAUAUAAUGACUCACGAGAUUUAUGAUACAUGUUUCAUUGUUCAUGAUUUAUGAUGUUUAUAUAUCAGAUGUUUAUUCGAGCUUUGUGAGUCAUUAUGAUCAGCAUGCAUGAUUUCUAACAAAAUGUAUGAUAUUGAUUAUUUAAUUGCAUACACAGCCAUAUACUCGGUACAUUUUUCAUGGUACUGACCCACAUAUUCGUAUGUGGGCUACAUUUUCUCGUAAUGUAGGUACAAUUCAUAGCACAUAUAAUAUGAUCAGGCAGUUCGCAGCUUCCAGUCAGCAGAUGAUGAGUCCUUUUAAUUCAAGGGCUCGAGCAGAUUUACAGUUUGAGAAAUUCUUUACUUUCUUUAUUCGGUUGUAUUGAGUUGGGAUAGUUGGGAGUCAUGACCCAGCUAUCUAUGGUCAAUAUUAGUAGAGGCUUCAUAGACAGUCUUUAGAAGUUGAUGUAUUCAGUUUCAGUUUUGUUGUAAAAGCAGGGUUGAAAUUUUGUAAAUUCAGUUUUGUAUUGAGCAGAUCCAGGAGAUUGAUGCAUUUUAUUCAGUUGCUUAUGAGUUAUGCCAGUAGAAGGGUUGGCUUGGGGUCACUUAUGACCCUAAGCACCAUGUGACGUCUCGGGGACCCGAUUUCGGGGCGUCACAAUAUCUUGAUUUCUUACUAGAUUAAACGUAGGUAAGAAGAUCAUACUUCUCCAUACACAGAGGAAUAUAUCAACCCGAUGAGACAAUAAUAUGUUCUGUAACUAAGAUGAAGUCAUGCAAUAUAUCACAACACAGUAUAAAAUUUGGAAGAUAAGGCUCCUAAAAGUGAAGAAAAAGUGAAGCAUAAGGUGGCAUGUCUUUAUAGUUUACACAAGCAAAAACACUAGAAAUACCAUAGACAUCUCAAAUUAUACAGGUUCUGUCAAACAUUGUUUCCGAGAAGAGACAGCGAAUUCUAAAAUCUGCAACGCACGAUGCCUGUAUAUUUCCUUCGUCAAACCUAGUCAAUGCAGCAGCCUGUUAUUACCAUGAAGCCUCGGCACCAACAGUUGGAUCUGGAAAGCGGAGAAGUUCCAAAAAGUCUUUAAUGAGUAUUGUUGAGAAAUUGGUACCCCCUCUUCUGUGAUUUUUGCAACCUACAAGUCCAUGAAGUAUCAGAAUGAAAUCACAAAGAAAGUUCAUAAAAAUCACAAAAUCCUGUUAUCUAAUGAGCUUGAUGAUGAAUUCUGUAUCAUUAAGGCAAUCUUUACUUCCAAUGAUCACAUUCAACUCCAAAUGCAAAGUUUGCAGCAAGUUCUGCAAGUUCAAAGUAUGAGCAUACUAAAGACAACACCAAAUCAGUUCAAAAAUAAUAUCCUGUUAGGAUCGAGAACUCGGUUAUUGCGGAAUUUUGCCAAACAAUGUUAUAAUGACAAUAACAAAGACAAUAGUAAUACUACUUAAACAAAAAUAAAGAAGGCACAAAUUUAAUGUGGUUCGGUCAAUGUAACCUACGUCCACGAGCGGAGAGGAACAACUUCACUAUAUCAACAAGAGUACAAUAGAGAGAUUACAAAAUUAGAGUAGUCACUCUAAUUAACCCAAAAAACCCAAGAGAAAAAACUCACAAGAUCACUCCAAAAGAAAGACCUCACAAAAGUGUUUCCCAACACCCACUCACUCAACUUAAUACUCUAAUAGGAAAGAAGAAUAAAUACAAGAGAAUGAAAGAGAAAUCUUGUAAUUUGAUGUAUUAGAAAUGAGAAAGAAGAGGUCCCUAUUUAUAGUGAUGAGAAAGAACUUGUUGAUGCCAUCCAUGAUGAAAAAUGGAAGAUGUAAAUUUCAACAUUUGCAUGUGAAUGGAAGAAAUCUACCAACAAAAUGUUUGGUAGCAACUAUGUUUGAACAAAGUGUGAAUCAAAGAAUCAAACAAAAGGCCACAUUACAAAUCUCUACCUUGGCCUGAGUUUGGUUAAUAUAGUAAAUUUACUUCCUCUCCGCAAAAGCCCGUGUGGGCAAAAUCUUUCUUCACAAAUGGCAAUCAAGCUCAAGCAAAGCUUAAACUUACUGACCGGAAGAGACUUUGUGAACAUAUCUGCAGGAUUGUCUCUAGUGUUGAUCUUCUGAACAGAGACCUUUCCUUCAAUAAUAGAUUCCCGAAUAAAAUGAUACUUGAUGUCAAUAUGCUUCGUCCUCUCAUGAAACAUUUGAUCUUUAGUCAAGUGGAUUGCACUUUGACUAUCACAGAAAAUAAUAAUACCACCUUAGUGUGGACUGAGUUCAACAAAUAGACCCUUCAACCAUAAGGCUUCUCUGAUAGCCUCGGUCACUGCCAUAUAUUCUGCUUCGGUAGUAGAUAAAGCUACUACGUGUUGUAAUGUAGCUUUCCAACUAACAGCACAACCACCAAUACAAAAUACGUAGUCAGUCAAUGAUCUUCUUUUGUCAAGAUAUCCUGCAUAAUCUGAGUCUACAAAACCAACCAAAGUGUUAGUAUUUCUUCCGAAUUUCAAACAAGCGUUUGAAGUACCACACAAAUAUCUGAGAAUUUAUUUUACUGCCUGCCAAUGUGUUUUUACAGGAUAAGCCAUAUAUCGGCUUACCACACUUACUGCUUGUAAAAUAUCUGGACGUGUACAUACCAUUGCGUACAUGAUACUGCCAACUGCACUAGAAUACGGUACCUGUGCCAUAUACCUUUCUUCCUCCUCUGACUGUGGUGAUUGAGCAGCUGAUAACUUAAAAUUAGCAGCAAGAGGAGUACUUACUGGUUUAGCUUCUUUCAUGCCAAACCUCUCCAAGACCUUCUCCAAGUAUUCUUCUGGGUCAAAAAUCGCCUGCGGGUUUCUCGAUCUCUUCUGAUCUCUAUGCUAAGGAUUUUCUUAACUGCUCCCAAAUCUUUCAUUUCAAAUUCACUUUUUAGCUGACUUUUCAAAUUGUGAAUUUCUGUCAAAGCCUUAGCAGCAAUGAGCAUGUCAUCAACAUAUAAUAGAAAGUAAAUGAAUGAACCAUCAUUUAACUUUCGAAAGUAAACACAACUAUCAUAUAUGCUUUUUGAAUAACCAUGACCUAACAUAAAGGAAUCAAACCUCUUGUACCAUUGUCUGGGAGAUUGUUUUAAUCCAUACAAGGAUUUCUUUAACAAGCAAAUAUGGUCUUCCUUUCCUUCAAUGUUAAAUCCUUCAGGUUGAUGCAUGUAUAUUUGUUCCUCAAGUUCGCCAUGUAAGAAAACUGUCUUAACAUCAAGCUGUUCUAAUUCCAAAUCAUGCAUGGCAACUAAGGUAAGCAAGAUACGAAUAGAGCUAUUUUUAACAAAAGGUGGGAAAAUAUCAUUAAAAUCAACUCCUUGUACCUGACUAUAGCCCUUUGCAACUAAUCGUGCCUUAUACCUUGCAUCUUCAACCCCUGGAAUUCCAUCAUUUUUCUUGAAGACCCAUUUGCAACCAAUGAUUCUGCUUCCUGACGGCGGCUUCACGAGAGACCAAGUACCAUUCUUAUGAAGAGAUUCAAUUUCUUCAUUCAUUGCAAUCAGCCACUUGGUUGAAUCAGCACCAGAAACUGCUUCUGAAUAAUUUGAUGGUUCUCUAAUUUCUUCAGUUUCCUGUGAAACUGAAAAAGCAAAUGUAACAUAAUCUUCAUACCUUUCUGGUCUGUGAAUUUUUCUUCUUGGUCUAUGUGUUGCUAUGGAAUACUCAUUUGGUUCAACUUCAGAAGUCACAACUUCUGGCUCAACUUAUGGACUUUCAACUGUAUUUUGUUUCACAGUUGAUGAUGAGCUCGGCUCAGAAGGUAUGCCAAGCUCAACCUCCACCUGUUUAUACACAUCAUGCUCUUUAUUCUUGGUGCAAGAGCUAAAAGACUCUUUUCUAGAAUGUAACAUGGAGGAUUCAUCAAAGGUUAUAUCUCUGCUAAUUAUAAAUUUUGGUGACUUGGGAUCAGGGCACCAAAGUCUGUAUCCUUUCACCCCAGAUGCAUAUCCAAGGAAAAUAUAUUUUUUAGCCCUUGGCUCUAAUUUUCCAUCAUUUACAUACAUGUAUGCAGGACAACCAAAAACUUUUAAGUUAGAAAAAUUAGCAGGUUUACCUGACUAUAUUUCCUCCAGAGUCUUGAAGUUCAAAGGUGCAGAAGGAUCACGAUUGAUAAUAUAACAAGCUGUAGAGAUAGCCUCUGCCCAAAAAGCAUUUGUCAACCCAGCACUUGAAAUCAUGCAACGGGCUCUUUCCAAAAGAGUCCUGUUCAUCCUUUCUGCAACACCAUUUUGUUGAGGUGUCAUCCUCACUGUGCGAUGUCGAGCAAUUCCUUAAUUUUUGCAAAAUUCGUUGAACUCGUCAUUACAAAAUUCCAAUCCAUUAUCUGUUCUAAGCCGUUUGACCUGUUUUCCUGUUUGCUUCUCAAUCAAAACUUUCCAUUGUUUGAAAGUUAAGAAAAUAUCACUUUUGUUUUUCAGGAAAUAAACCCAAACCUUACUUGAAUAAUCAUAGAUGAAAGUUAACACAUACCUGGCACCACCUUUUGAUGGGGUACGUGAAGGACCCCAAAGAUCUGAAUGAAUGUAGUCCAAAGUACCUUUUGUUCGAUGAACUACCGGAGAUUUGAAGCUGUAACAACCCACAUUUCGGGCUAGAAUUUUAGACCAUCGUUCUUAUGUGUAUAGACCCGAACUGAAUUAUUCCUUGUUAAGGUAUGUGUGGUGAUUACUCUUAUAGUGUGGGAAAACCUUUGAAUAUGAAUUGAGGUCACAAGAAUCCCCUAACUCUAAGACAAGUUGAAAAUAAUUUCAUCGAUUAAGCUUUGGUGGACACUCCAACUUGGGUCAAGUUUCGUCAUUCAUAACUCCUUUUAUACAAUGAAUUAGAAGGCCUACUAUAUAUAGAUUGAAAGUUCUUCAAAGUAUAUUUCCAACGGUGCCAAUCUCAUCUAAAUAUGAUACCCGAGCUAAGAGUUAUGACCUUGCAAAGUGGAGUACUCCAUCCAUUCGGGUUUUACCAGAUCUGCAACUGCUUCAGCAGAUUGGAAGCAGUUUGGACGCAUUUUGGGACAUAAUACACUGGUUUACUUUGCCUUACAUCUACUCCAGUAGUUUAGGCACAGAUUGGGCGCAGUUCGGGCGCAAAAUACACUGGCUUGAUCUGCCUUUCAUCUGCUCCAGCAUUUUGGGCGCAGAUGGGGCACAUUUCAGGCCACAGUUUUAGGGUCAAAUUUCAUCGAUCAUAACUCACUGUAUAUAAUGAACUGGGAGGGAUCCUAUAUAUCAAACGAAAUCUCUUUGAGUCUUCUUUCCAAUGCAAUUGAUUUCAUCCAAAUUUAACAUCUGAGUAAGAAGUUAUGCCCAAUUUACUUCAGCCUAUCAGACUGUCAACUGAGGGACAGCUGCGACUUUGUUUUAUUUCUAAGGUGCAUUUUAGUAUUUUCCCCCACUCAUAAACAAUUUAAACACGGAUAGAGAUUUUCGCAGACGGUUUUCAUAUGUUGCUAGAUAGUUUUGGAUCUCAUUUCCAUUGUUGAAUGUAUAUCAGACUUAUGACCAUGAUUCCAUUUCGUUAUAAUUUUCCACAUUUUCCUUAAAUUGUGUAUGAAUGGUGUAUAUGAUUUCAAGUUAGAAGAGCGUACGAGCCUUCAUGGUUCAGGAUACUCGUCACGGCCAGGGCCUUGGUUCGGGUUGUGACAGAAGCUGACUCUUUUCUUCUUUCCAAAUAUGCAGUGUUCACAGAACUCUAUUUUUUCGAUACUUUAUAUACACACUACAGUGGCUCGAUAUCAACGAAACUUUUUUUGUACAACAAGGGCCAUUCCCUCCCUACUGUUAAGUCUAAAAAGAACUCCACAGAGAGUUGCUAGUAAUAGAAGAUAUACAACUACGCAAUACCUGUUGAUGGUCUACUGGAUACGCGGCCAUUGAGGCCACUCAUAAGAAAACAAUUUGUAGUGUACUGUCAUUCGCCAAGCUUCUCCAAAAUCAUGCACAAGUUCUGCAGUACUCGUUUUCACAUUAUAAGAAAUAACCUUGCUUCUUAUUUGCAAAUACAAGAUGUCCGGAAGAGCAGGAUGAAAAACCAUGUUCCGAACCUCAAAACCAAGAGCAUUGCCUCCUCCAAGUCCAAAAUCCUCUCGACAUUUCUUAACUACAAUAGAAACAUGUAUAUCAUACUUCCAAACCCAUACUGCGUCUCGACUAGGAAAAUUGUUGAGUCGCCAACACGAGAUGAUUGUACCACUAUUCAAUGCAAAACAAAGUUCCCCUCCAGAUAAUCCAAGACAAAUAUAACCGGGAUAAAACCACGUCCGGUCAGGUAAUCCCAAAAACAAAUUUUUACACCAUCGUAAACAGUCACCUGUUUUGGAUAAUUACAAAGCCAACAGAAUACUCCAUCGACUACACAAGCUGAUGAUGGAGAAGUCUCAUCCGUAGAAGGUGUAACACCCCGUAAAAGUCGUGCAUGGAUUGGACUUUAAUAGGUGUAAAAGUGGAACUCGCCCCCCUAAAGUAUUUAGGGUUGAUCUUGAUAUUUUUGUCCCCAUAAAAAAUGCCUUAUGGAAAAUGGUCGUUAUAUAAGGGCCCAUGUUUUUGGCCUUGUUUAAUUGCUCAUGAGACAGUUCUAAUUCUUGAUAUUUCAAGACAAUGAACCUGUAUAAUUGACAACUGUCGUAUAGGUUGUAACACCCUGUAUUUUCGAACUAGAAAUCGAAUCGUUGUUGUAACACCCCGCAAGAAUCCUCUACGUGUUAGCUCCUAGUAGUAUGCUCAUAGAAUUGAAAAGAGUAGAAAUUUUUCUAAGUGUAAAAAGGGACUUAGAAUCAUUUUGAGUUUCCAAAAUUCGGGGAUUUUAUUUUCAACCUUUUCGACCUUCAUUUCUUGUUUUUUUUUUAUAUACGACGGUAAAGUCUGUGUUCACUCUGUUAUACCUCACAGGUAGGCAUAAGGUAAGGUCUGUGGUCACUCUGUUAUCUACGGGCCCCACUUUUUUAGAAAAAAAAAAGUAACUUCCAUAAAUAGUACUAUUUAAAAAUAAAAUAUUUAAUAAUCUAUCAUUAUUAGUUGAAUUGCAUAAUCCACAAUAUAUAGAGGCAAAUGUGUAAAUGAGAAAUAUUUUGAAUGUACUCCUUCCACAAAUGUUUUUUUGUCCAUGUUACUAGUAACACACAUAAACUAUAUAUUAUAUCAAUGUGCGUAUACGUUAAACUUAAAUCUACAUCGGCUAUUAUAAUAUAGUGUUAUAUAUAUGUAUCAUGUCCGGUAUAUGUUAUAUUAAUAACUCAUAAUCGAACAAUAUUAUGAUAUAAGUGGUGUAGGAAACUCGCAAAUCUGAUAGUUUAGAUAUAAAAUUCGACUAAAGCAUCUAGUACUCCUGAACUAUGACCAAAUUUGUUACGACACACUCCAACUUCACGGGGAUCGUAUUACCCCCUCAACUAAAUUUUAGCGUAUUUUUGUCAACCUUUUUUAGCUAACGUGGCACUUUUGACGUGGGUCCCAUUUUUAUGUAAUAAAUGUGUCACAUCAGCACAAAAAGGUGACAAAAAUAUGUUAAAAUUGAGUUCAGGUGGAUAAUAGGACUAGUGGAAAGUUGAAGUGUGUUGUAGCAACUUUGAUUAUAGUUCGGAGGUUACUGGAAGCUUAUCUCUGUAUUAUAGUAAUAAUUCAUAUCUUGUUCAUAAUUGAACAAUAGUAUGAUACAAGUGGUGUAGAAAACUCACAUAUCUCAUAAUUCAGAUAUAAAAUUCAAAAUAUUGAUAUACUUUUGAUGUAUUUUUUUAAUCCUUCACUCUUUGAAUAAUUGAAGUCCAUUAUGACCUAAAUAAUAGCAACGAAGGUUCGAAUCGCUCGAUGUUCCCCCUCCUCUCCUCCUCUGCGCCUCUUUCUCUUCAGUAAAGUCGAGCCCAACUAUUAUAUUGAUUACGUCAAACAUAACUUUUAGCAAUAUGAUGAAAUAUUUGCAUGAAAUUGUCUCUUUUUCUUCAGUAAAGUCGAGCCUAACUAUUAUAUUGAUUACGCCAAACAUAGCUUUUAGCAAAAUGAUGAAAUAUUUGCAUGAAAUUGUUUUUGUGACAAGAAGGCAUGGCAUGGAAAUGGAAUCUUUUGAGUAAUAUAAAGUUCAAUUAUUUUGGGAAAUAAAAGCCUACAUCCAUCAUGGCUUGGACCCCAUGGAAUUUAAUCCAAUAUAUCAUGUGCUUUAGGUCCCAUCACCCCAAAUAUUCCAAUUGUGCGGCGAGGGAGCAACUUGUCUGGUCUCGCGAUGUCAUGAGCGAAUCUAAGUGGGUGUCACGAAGUUCACGGUGAAAAAUUACACGACAUAUAUAGUGUUUAUUUUAGCCAAAGUUUAGAGGUAGCCCAGUGGUUUUGGGCUCACUACUUUAGUCACUCUAUGGUCUUUCAUGUUUCAGGUUUGAUUCUUGUUGAGCGCGCAUGCAACUUAAUAUUUUAAAAAAGAAAAAAGAAAAUUAAGUCUACUGGUUCUAUACGUACAGGUAGGGGUGUACAUAGGUCGGGUUGGUUUGGUUUUAUUAAAAAAAAAUCAAACCAAUCAUAUCGGUUUAUUAAAACUAUAAACCAAAUCAAACCAACAUAAAAUUAGUUUUUUCGGUUUAGGUUUUAGUCGGUUUUUUUGGAUUUUUCAAUUUUUUUGAAAUUUUUUUUAUAAUCUUUAGUUUUUACAAUUAUAUUGCGAUCGAAGAUUAGAUCAAAUAUAUUUUCACUCAUGUGCUAAGGAAAAAACAUAAUUAUGAAAAAAUGAGGAGUAGAAAACUCUCUUGAAACUAAAAAGUGAGAUGAAGAGUGAAAAGUGUAGGUUUUAAGUUUAUAUUGGGUUUUCGAUCAUUUAAUUAGCAAUUAAUGGACAAAUAUUACAACUUAAAGGCCCAAAUCUAAAUAUAUAUCUACAUCUACUUUCAAAUUAUUGAAAAUUACUAAAACUAGUUGAAAAAGUAUUUAAAAAGUAGAUUAUAAUUAAUAUUUUAUGUAUAAAAAAGUUUGAAUAUUAUAUCUAUACUAUAUUAAAAGUGUGAAAUCAGUUUGACUUGACGAUUUGGUCUGUACACCCCUACGUACAGGUACAACUAUUAUUAGGGGUAACUUUUUUUCGAACUCCCUUUAUGAAAAUUCUGAAUCUGCCAGAUGCACUCAUUUUUGCUACGGGAAUGAAAUGAUGCCCCCAAACGCCUCUCCCUUCCUUCAAAAAAAAAAAAACAAAUAUAUACACACAAAUAUCCCACUUUUAACUCGGAGUUCGCACAUUAUAGUGUCCAUUUUCGAAAGAUGGCACUUCCGUUUGAUUGUUUUCAUUCCCAAAGACUUAAAUCUAAUACUUCCUCUGUUCAAUUUUACUUACUCUUUCCAUUCGAAUUCACUUGUCACUGUUUUUCUAAUUUGAUUUUUAUUUUUACUUGUCAUUUUUGAUAAAUUAAAAAAAGUUAAAAAAUAUUUUUCAUGUUUUACUCUUAGCAUAAACUACUCAUUCUCCAAAUCAUUUUUCAAUAUUUAUUACUAAACAGCAAUUAAUAGAGACAAUAUAGUAAAGUCACUAUACCAAUUAUUAUUUUUUUAAUGGAUAUGCCAUAUCAAAAAAUGACAAGUAAAAAUGAACGGAGGAAAUAUCACUUAUUUAUAAAAUGAAUUUUCAUUUUUACUUGUCACUUUUAACAUAUCAAGAACAGACGUGUUGCUUAUUCUACAACUUAUUUUCCAGACAUAAUACAUAAAACAUCAAUUAAUCGGGGUGGUUAUAAGGUAAAAUAAUCAUAUCAAUGAUUAUUUUCUUAGUGAAUAUACCAAAUCAAAAUGUGAGAGUAAAAGUAAACAAAAAAAGUAUUUCUCAUUAACAUCAAAAAAAUUUCAAUCAUCUCACCACAAUUUACGAGAAAAAUAAGAUAAUUACGUAACAAAUAUAAACUUUUUACCCUACUCUUUUAAGUAAAACAAAAAAUCUAUGAGAAAAACUCUGUUGGGAGCGCUGUCAUCUUAAUGGGCCCUGCAACGCACUAUCUGAAUUAGUUGAGGCUUCAAUGCGAACACCAAACACCGGAUGAGAAACAAAAAAAAAAUAUAAAGUUUUUGUUUUUUUGUGACCCUACUCCUUUAAGUAAAGAAAAUGAAAGGUGCUUUAUAUAAGGCUUAUAUCUUCUUUUAAUGCUUCACCUUCCUCUAUCAUUUCUCUUCUUUUGAUUUUUUGUUCAUUCUUUAUCACACUCUCAAGAGUAAAUAGUACCCAAAAAAUCCAAAUUCGAGAAAAAAAAAUUCCCCCUUCUAAGGGAACUUGUUUAAUAAAAAUGUCAUCAUCCAAUUUAAAUCAUCAAGCAAACAAUGGACUCCCAAUAUGUCUUGGAGGGAUGAUGUGUCCUCUUCCCCUCUCCAAAGAGUAAGUUUUCUCUUCUUUUUGUUUUAUUUUAUAUGUGUGAUGUCUGAGUCAGUUUUCACGUACCUUGACUAAAUUCAUGAGAUAACUGUCAUCUCUCACCAGCAACAAACAUUAUGGAACUCUACAUCACGUAGCUUUGUUCAUCAAGGCUAGAACUAUUUUAUUAUCGUGACGUUCAUGUCAGCUUUCGCAUACCUCGACUUAGGGGCGGCUCAAGCGUAUCAGAGGCCUAAGGCCAAAAUCAAAAGGUCUUAAGUUUUUACGUAAAAAAUAACUUUUUUUAAUAAAGUCAUUUAAUCUUUUUUAUGUCAUAGUACUCUAGUAAAUCAAACUUCUUCUAACAAUUUUUUUAUAUAAAUUUUAUUUUUUCUACAAAUAAUAUUUAAAAAUCUUUCAAAAAAAUCUAUAAUCUAUUAUUGCUAAAAAAAAAAAUGAGGCCCUCAAAUUUGAAGGGCUAAGGCGGUCGCCUUUUUUCUAUAAGGGAAGAUUCGCCCCUGCCUCGACUAAAUCACGAGAUAUUUGUCACUUUUCACCAGUAAUAAACAUCACGGAAUUCUACAUCAAGUGACUUUGUUCACCAAGGCUAGAACUAUUUUACUACUGUGAUGUUUAGGUCAACUUUUGCAUACCUCGACUAAAUUUACGAGAUGCCUGUCACCUUUCACCAGCAACAAACAUCACGGAACUCUACGCCAAGUGACUCUGUCCAUCAAGGUUAGAACUAUUUAGUGCCGUGAUGUUCAGGUCAGCUUUCGCGUACCUCAACUAAAUUCAUGAGUUACUUGUCACCUUUCACCAGCAACAAACAUCAUGUAACUCUACAUUACGAAACUCUAUUCACCUAGACUGGAACAGAUGAAAAGAAUCACCAAAUAUUUUUAAUAGUGCUAGGUCACACCAUUAGGUGCUUCCAAAGAGUAAGUAUUCUCUUCCUUUUAUUUUAUCUUAUUACCAUGAUGCUCAGGUCAAUUUUUGCUCACCUCGAUUAAAUUCAUGAGCUACCUAUCACUUUUCACCAACAACAAACACCAUUAACUCUACAUCACGUAACUCUGUCCAUAAAAAAUAGGACAGAUGAAAAGAAUCACCUAAUAUUUUAGUAGUGCUAGGUCACACCAUUAGAUGCUUCCAAAGACAGUUUUCUCUUCCCUCUCUCUUAUCACAUUAGGGUCGUAUUCAAGAUUUGAAUUUUAUGAUUUUUGAAUUAUAGGAUAGUGAUCUCAAGUGUUAGUAACUAAUCUAAUAGAUACUGUAAUGCAUAUACAUGUUUUGGACUAAAGCUAUUAGUAAAGCUAUUGGGUUCUGCCAGACUCGUAAUAUGAAGCUUAAAACACGUUAAACGAUGUGAUAACUUUAAAUAGAGACGAAUCAUGAAUUUAGAGUCGGUUCGUUCAGAAUGAGCAUGUGUCAAAACUAUCUUUAAUAGCGUAGUUUCUUGAAAAGUUGAAAUAUAUUUUUGCUAAAUGUUAUUAUAAAGAAUAUAUAAUAAAAUAUAAUAUAAAAUGAAAAUUAGUUACUUAAUCGCUAUAGAGAAAUAUUGUUAUAAAAAGAUUUAAGUGUACCUUUUAUAUGUGUAGAUGAUUUAUUUGAGCUGAAAUCUAUAGGUACAGUUGGAGAGGUAGAUUCAAGAUCUAAAUUAAACGAGUUGGAUCUUUAAAGUUCUAGCACUCAACUUAUUGUAUUUUUUAAAUUAUGACUUAAUAACAUAAUAUUUAUUGAAAUUUUAGUAAUUUUUUGAUAUAUAUAUUCAUGGGUGGAGCUAUCUAUUUCAAAGGAUGGUCAGGUGCACAUCCUUCGUCGAAAAUGUUGUGUAUAUAGAGUAGUUAUUAUGAGUGUGUAUUUAAUUUUACAUGACAAAACUGAGAAGAAAAUUUGCACGUUCUUCGUUAAUUUUUUGACUCCGCCACUGUAUGUAUCGUCCGAAGAACAUCCUAGAUAUCAGUGGUACGGUGUAAUCCGAAUUUUUAUUGAGGGGGUUCAGAAGUAUAUAUACAAAUUAGUCGAAGGAGGUUUAACAUGUACUAUAUAUAUUUGCAUAAAAAUAUAUUUAACCAUGUAAAAAUAAUAUAAAACAGUAUAAUCUUCUAUCGAAAGAAGCUCGGAUGAACCCCUGGAGCAAAGGUGGCUCCACCAGAUAUGCAUCUAAGUAUAUAAUUAUUUUCUUCUUUUCAAAUUGCAGGAUGACGGAUCACAUUGGAAGAAGAGAGGCUAUGAAAAAGUUAAGAGUGCAAAGGGGAGGAAAAUGGAAAAAAGAUUCAGAUCUUAUUGUUGCUCUUCUUUAUGAUCUUUGUUUGUCUUGUACAGCAAAGGCUGCUUAAUCCUAACUUAGAUCAAAGUAUUUAAUUUGGUUUUCUUCUAAUGUUUGUUUAUGUACUCUUUGGGGACACCAUGAUAUAUUUUUGUAAGAACCUCCUAGUAAAUUUUGCUAUCUUUUUCGAUGUUGGGCUUGGUUAAAUUUAAAUUCGCUCAUUGCAUGACUUAUAUUUUUUGGGGGCGGUGUAUAUUUUUCAUUUCUAAUGGUUCUAAUCUAGGACUCUUAUUAGUAAAGAGUGUAGGGAUUUCGAUUGCCUCACCAAAACUCACGUUGAUAAAAGCUUUGCAAUUACUAGUACUUUUUCUGUCCCAACAGUUACACUCAAAAAAGUUAUUUUAAAAUAAUUAUCACUUUAAAAAUUCAAUCAACUACGCUCUUUACAUUACAGAAACAAAUCUUCUUUUUAGGGUGUGUUUGGAAAAUUUUUCCACAGAACUAAUUAUAUUUUACUUAUUUUUAAACAUUUAGAAAGUAGAUAAGAAAAUAUUAUCUCAAAAACAUUUAUACAGUACUCCCUCCGUCCCAAAUUAUAUGUCAUCAUUUCCUCUUUAGUCCGUCCCGAAAAUAAGUGUCGCCUUUCUUUAUUAGGCAACUUUUUAAAGACACAAUUACCCUUUUACCCUUAUUGAUCCCACUUAAUUAAAAAAAAAAUAUUGGCACAUUUUUUAUAAAGGAUAAUUUGAUAAACUUUAUCAAGCCUUUCCUUUUUCCUUAAACUAUGUACCCGUUCAAAUAACGACACAUAAAAUAGUACGGAGAGAGUAUUAUUUAACAAAACACUAUAUAGCCUGGAUGGGAUGGGGAGUGGGGGUUUGAGAUAGCGAGAGUGAGAUGGUUUUUAGUUUUUUGUCUUUUUUGUGGGGUGAGGGGGGCGCAAAUAUUUCACUAUUUGGGACAUAGGGAAGUCAUUUACCCAAUUUGAAGGAAUCAUUUUCUGAGAGGGUGAAAAUUUCAAAUUUGAUUAAACAAUCAAACUCACCUCACAAUAUUGAAUAAUAAUCAUACUUCUAUAUCUCUGUCAUGUAAUACCCAUUUUAUCCUUGUAAUUUUAAUCCUAUAUUUAUAUAAUAUCUUUUUAUAUUAUAUGUAAUGAAAUUUUUUUUAACAUCAAUAUUUAUAGCAUUUUGUUUAAGUUUAUUAACUUUAUAAGCAAAUUAAUGUUUUUUAUAAAUUUAUCACAAAAUUCAAUGUUAUUUUCUCAGAUCGUUAUUUUAGUAUUAUAUGUAUUAAAGAGUCGUUUGGUGUGAGGUAUAAUUAUAAUAAUUCGGAGAUAAAGUUCAUGAUUAUUUAUCUUGUGUUUAAUUAGAUAUAUUAGAUAGUCUCAAAAUUAUUUAUCGCACUAUUUAUACCACAGUAAUGAGAUAAGUUAUCACACAUACAUGUUAGUACAACUUAUUUUGUGAUAACUAAUUCCGGAAUAACUUAUUUCCAAACAACCUACCCCUAAGUGUGUAUAUAUGCAUAUGUGAUUACUUUCGUGUUUUAUCACUCUCUUACUAAAUUCGUUUUAUAUUACUUAACUUUUUGUUAAUAUAACACAAUCCUUAAGAAAAUUUUAUUUAGAGGUAUAUUUUGUUUAAUUAACCUUAUUAAUGAUAAUUUAAAACUUUAAAUUUAUCUAUACUGUUACUUUAUAUAGUUAUUUAACACUAAAGGGUAGAAGAAAAACAUAAUACAGUUAUCUUGAUUUCACAAAUUGAACAGAUAAAUUAAAACAUCUAUAUUUAGUAUGAGAAUCAAGUGAUAAGAAAUGAUAUUAUUUAUUGUCUAUAUCAGUAAAUAAGUUGUGAUUGUCAUUAAUAGCGCAUUACAUAUUUGAUAAUUUAUAUAAAUAAAUAUAAUCUUUAAAAUUUGACCUUAUUUUUAUUCAAGAAAAAACAUCUAGAACCCCCAAACUAUGACCAAAUUUGCUACGACACACAUCAACUUCACGGGGGUCCUAUUACCCCUUCAACUAAAUUUUAGCGUAUUUUUGUCAAUCUUUUUAGCUAAUGUAAAUCUUUUGUCAAUCAUUUUAGAUGGCGUGACACCUUUGAUGUGGGCUCCAUUUUAUGUAAUAAAGGUGUCAUAUUAGCACAAAAAAUGAAAAUACGCUAAAUUUGAGUUCAGGGGUUAGUAGGACCCCUAUGAAGUUGGAGUGUGUCGUAACAACUUUGAUCAUAGUUUGGAGUGGUACUAGAGUCUUCUCGCUUUCAUUUAUUGUUUGUAUUUUCUGCAUUGAAAUAUCUUUAUAAAAUUAGUAUUACUUAUUAUUUUUACUUGUAAAAUAAAUAUUAUAGUUUUGGUUAUUAUUAAUAAAACUAAUUUUCUUAUCAUACUAAUUUACUUCAUAAAGAUCAUCAUUAGCUUAUAUACUUAAUUAGUAUUUUUACUAUUUUUUUUCUAGAAGAUAAUGUUUAUGUUUUUAUGAAAAUUUUGUUAUAUGAUUUUUUUUCUUUAAAAUGAAAAUAUGAUGAUUUUAAAGAAGUUAAAUAAAGAAUAAAAAAAUUGAUAAUAAAGAGUAAAAUAGGAAUUUUAAAAAAUCAAUAGGAUAAAGGAGGGAGUAUGAUUAUUGUUCAAAAUUGAGAAAAAAAAUGAUUUUUAAGACAAAGUUGAAGAGGGAAAAUGAUUUUGACGCUUUUCUGAAAAUAUUUUUCUCCAUUUCAAAUACGUCCUUAAUAUUACCCAAUUCUCUUGGGGUGGGGGUUCCCAAUUUACAAGAUAUGAUCUAUCAAAUAUUGAACUAAAAAAAAUUUCUUGAUUUCGAAAUGGUUUGUCAUCACAUACUACUAUAGUAUAAAUAGGGAUAUAUCAUAAAUUAUACCCUACACUAUUUAUUGUGUCAUUUCUUUAAUAAAUGUAUUGAGGAGGUGUUAGGAUCUUUCAGUGUCGAGGUGUGAGAUGUUGAUUAUGGCUGAAUUAGUCACAGUAGAGGUAGAUCAAAGAAAUACUAAAGGGAGAUAAUUAGACAUGAUAUGGACCAAUUACAGCUUAUGGAGGUCAUGACCCUAGAUAAGAAAGUGUGAGAGACGUAGAUUAAGGAAAAUGGGUAGUAGGUAGGAGUGUCUCUGCUGGUAGGUAGGCGUGUUUUUUGUUAACUGUGUUAGUACCUGUUGUGCUGCUUUUCUUGUAGCAUCUUGGUGUUGGAAUUUUGAUGAUGUUUGUUGUUUCAGUAAAGUCGAGUGUGGUCGUACUUUGUAGUAGACACGUUUUUUAUUAUUUGUUGUUAUUUCUAUCAAUUUUUUUGUUCUUAUAUUAUAUCCUCUAGAAUUUUUGUUUUGAGUCUAAAUCCUUUCAAAAAAAACCUCUCUAUCUCACCUUCGUUAUAGUUUAUCUAUAUCUAUAAUAUAUUAAAAGUGUGAAACCCCUUAAAAAAGUGAUUUAAACUUUUUGUCCUUCAUUAAAAUACUCCUCAACAGAUAAAAUUGUCUUUUCACCUUUUUUCUAAAUAAUUAUCAUUAAAUUAUUAUUCAAAUAUUUAGAAUAGGAAAAAAAAAGGGGAACUUUUUAGGGAAAACUCUAUUAAGGGAAAAAAAAAAUUAUAUUAAAAAAAUACGUAUGCCAGACUUUUAGGGAAACUUUUAGAAUUUUUUUUUUAUAUAUAUCAAUAUGUGUGUGUGGAAAGGGAAAAGAAUAAAAAAUAAAAUUUAUAUUAAAAAAAUUAUGUAUGACAGUUUUUUAAGAAAAGUUUUAGGAACAAUUUUUUUUGUAUUAAGAAAAUACGUAUUACAGAUUUUUAAGAAAAGUUUUACGAACAUUUUUUUUUAUAUUAAGAAAAUACGUAUGACAGGUUUUUAAGAAAAUUUUUAGGAAAAAAGAAUUAUAUAUAUAUAUGGAAAGGGAAAAAAUUUUUAAAAAAAAUUAUAUUAAAAAAAUUACGUAUGAAAGGUUUUUAAGGAAAGUUUUAGGAACAAUAUAUAUUAUUUUGUUGUAGUUUACAGGUGGUAAUGAAUGUCGGUCGACUUGGAAAAAAUUUUUUAGGUAAAUAUUAGAUUUUGUUGUAUUGUUUUGAUAUUUCCGUUUUGAGAAUUCUUUAAUUAUAUUGUUGUGAUGUCUCUAUCAUUUUAUUGUUUUUUUGCAAUUAACAGGUGGCAGAUGAAUAUCGAUCGACUUUAAGAAUUUUUUUUGAUAAAGGUCAGGUUUAAUUAAAUAAAUUCUCCAUCUCUACAUAUUCAAAACAUGUUUUAGUUAAUUAUUGUAUUUAUCUUUAUUAAAAGCCUCUUGGGAUGUUGUCAUAUAUAAACAAGUCGAACAAAAUGUGCAUAAAAUGGAUACACGCUUUCUAUUUGAAGAACCAACAACCUGUGCAAGUAAAGCCCCACAACAGGCUGAAUUGUAAGUUUGGCAAUUGUUUUGAUUGUGUAAUUAUUUUGGUGAGUAUUAAAAUGUUGUUUGGUUACCUAUAGAGAGUGGUACCCAAUAUCUAUUAUUGGUAGAAGGUUAUCGAUAUCCCAUAAAAUUAAAUCAGGUGCGCAAACGAGACGGUAAUCAAAAAAUGCUAUUUAGUGACGACCGAUGUCAAUGCACGAAACAAUUUGCUCAAAUUGUCAGGUUAAUUUGAGGAUAAUACAAGAAAAAAGAUUCAGGAAUUACUGCUGAUGUUUUGUCUGUAAAUAAGCAAUAACAACAUUGAAGAUAGUUGUUGCUUCAAGUUCUUGCUCUUUCAACAAAGGUUGUCUAAUUAUUGAAACGGUAAGGUAUUUUAACAACGGACGCACUGUAAUGUGUACAUGGUAAAAGUCAAAGAAAAAACUAGAUGAAACAAGAAUCGGAAAACUUAAAACAGCAACAAAAUGAACGUACCAAAAACUAUAAUUUUUCUCUCAAGGAGUAUAAAUAUUAAAGACUAAAAAGCUAGUUUCACAAAAGAUCAAAGGCAAACAAACUCUUGAAGCAACACUAGAUCACGCAACCACUACUAAACCUAGGGAGAGACGAGAACCGAAAAAGACCAGGCUACACACAAAGCUAUAAUUCAAUCCUUAUAGUAGCAGCCUACGUUGUUCAAACACAGAAGAAAAAAAAUCAAAGCAAAACUUCCCAGCCUCUUAUGUUUAAGAUAAAACAAAGUACAACUAGACCACCAUAGACACACCAAGAACACAAGGUUAAAACAGAGACAAGCAGCUCAUGAUUUACCAGGUCACAGAUGACAGCAAAGAACUGGCUCAAUUUGAAUAAGAUUAGUUGCUCUUCAGGAUAAGGCAAUGGCAGAAAAUAGGGAAGCUACGGUGCAAUGAUGAAUGAGCAACUGUAGAAUCAUAAAGAGAACACAGAGAAUGUAGAAGAGAAAAGAUAUCCCAAAAACACAUAUUAAAACCGUCUCAGCAGAUCAUCUUGAAAUUCGCUAUAAAAAACAGACACGAGAAAGGCAUCCAGAGGUACUAAUGUCAUUGCCCAUCAAGCAACUUGGAUAAAAACCAAAUUGCUCGAUAACUCCAGUAUCCUCAAAAGAGGCUAGAGAACCAUGACAAAGCUUCUAGAGACAUUUCCAGUGCAGGUAAAUUGUUCAAAACAAAAUCGAAAAUAGCUAAUGCAAUUAAACAAAACUAGUUCAUAAAUCCAGAAUCUCAUCAAAAACACCUCACUUCUUCUUCUGAGCAGCCUUGGUGACUUUGGCACCAGUAGGGUCCUUCUUGUCAACAUUUUUGACGACACCAACAGCAACAGUUUGACGCAUGUCCCUCACAGCAAAACGUCCCAAUGGUGGGUACUCAGCAAAAGUUUCAACCACCAUGGGCUUGGUGGGAAUCAUCUUAACCAUACCAGCAUCACCAUUCUUCAAGAAUUUGGGCUCCUUCUCAAGUUCCUUACCAGAACGUCUAUCGAUCUUGGUCAAGAUCUCAGCAAACUUGACAGCAAUGUGGGAGGUGUGGCAAUCGAGCACUGGAGCAUAUCCGUUUCCAAUCUGACCAGGAUGGUUCAUGAUGAUGACUUGAGCAGUGAAGCUGGCAGCGCCCUUUGCUGGGUCAUCUUUGGAGUUAGAAGCAACAUAACCUCUCUUGAGAUCCUUAACAGCAACGUUCUUGACGUUGAAACCGACAUUGUCACCAGGAAGAGCCUCCUGAAGAGCCUCAUGGUGCAUCUCAACAGAUUUAACUUCAGUAGUCAGACCAGUAGGACCAAAAGUCACAACCAUACCAGGCUUAAUGACACCGGUUUCAACACGACCAACAGGCACAGUUCCAAUACCACCAAUCUUGUAGACAUCCUGAAGUGGGAGACGGAGUGGCUUGUCUGAGGGCCUCUUGGGCUCAUUAAUCUGGUCAAGAGCCUCAAGUAGGGUUGGGCCCUUGUACCAGUCGAGAUUAGUUGAUCGCUCAAUCAUGUUGUCUCCUUCGAAACCAGAGAUGGGGACAAAGGGGAUUUUGUCAGGGUUGUACCCAACCUUCUUGAGGUAGGAAGAAACUUCCUUCACAAUUUCAUCAUACCUGGCCUUGGAGUAUUUGGGGGUGGUAGCAUCCAUCUGCAGAAGGCAAGCAACAGAAUUAGCCAACUUGCAACAUCAACUUUCACAAGAAUAAAAGAUAACAGUAAAAGAGACCUUGUUACAGCAGCAAAUCAUUUGCUUGACACCGAGGGUGAAAGCAAGCAAUGCGUGCUCACGGGUCUGUCCAUCCUUGGAGAUACCAGCUUCAAAACCACCAGUGGUGGAGUCAAUAAUGAGGACAGCACAGUCAGCCUGGGAGGUACCAGUAAUCAUGUUCUUGAUAAAAUCCCUGUGUCCAGGGGCAUCAAUGACAGUGCAGUAGUACUUUGUGGUCUCGAACUUCCACAAGGCAAUAUCAAUGGUAAUACCACGUUCACGCUCUGCCUUCAGCUUGUCAAGCACCCAAGCAUACUUGAAGGACCUCUUGUUCAUCUCAGCUGCUUCUUUCUCGAAUCUUUCGAUGACACGCUUGUCAAUACCACCAAGCUUGUAGAUCAAAUGACCAGUAGUGGUCGACUUUCCAGAGUCGACAUGACCAAUGACAACAAUGCUAAUGUGAAUUUUCUCUUUACCCAUGAUGCCUGAGAAACUGAAUAAAGCACACAAAACAGGGUUAUCAAACCAGUUAGUUCCCAGUAGAUAGACAGAGAUACUAUUCAAUGCAACCUUAAAGAAUCAUGAAAGACAGUAAAACUGGUCAUUACUAAUUAAUGAGACCCAUUAUUCAGCCACUAUGGACCUACAUGCCUAUUUUCACAUAUCACUUAUAAAACACAGCUAUUGAGCAGAUUGUCACAUCAUUAACUGAAAAUUCCAAAAAAUAGUCAACGCAUAUAUCAUCAACGUGGGACAAAACACGUGAAAAACGACAAAUUGUCACGUAUCACUGACAAAACUCUGAUCUACUACCAGAGCGACUCAAUACAUAUUCAAACAUAAGAUCAACAAAUUAAAGAGGAAAAUGGACAAAUUGUCAUAAAUUGAACUUGAAGUUUAUAAAUAUUUGAAUCAUAACAUAGGACGAACAGAUCUCUGUGGAAAACAAAUUUUUCACAUAUUACUGACCAAAACACAGAUCUAUUACCAGAUUGUCACACCUUAAACUGAAAACUUUAUGAUAUAUUCACAAUACAUAUAUCAUCAACAUACUAUACACAAAUCAUCUAGAAAAGAACACAAAUCUAUUACCAGAUUUGAACAUCUAUAGCAUACAAUUUGAACAAAAAGUACAUCAAAUAGCCUAAAAAUACAGACUUUCACAUACCACUGACAGAACACAAAUCAAUUAGCAGAUUUACGCAUAUAAUACAAUUCAAUUACCACUGACAGAACACAAAUCAAUUACCAGAUCUACGCAUAUAAUACAAUUCAAGCUCAAAUAAAAUAGAACAAAUCAUCUAGAAAAAACAGAGUAUUUUCACAUAUCACUGCCACAUUACAAAUCUAUUGCCAAGAAGAGUAUUUUUCAGCAAAAAACUGAUUAUUUUUCAUAUUUAAUAAAUCUAUUUCCAAAUUAUAGCAUCUAUAUAAUACAAUCUAAAAGAAAAAUAUCAGAAAUCAGCACAUAUCAGUAAUAAAACACAGAUCUAUUACCAGAUUUUAGAAUCUAUUUCUGAUCUAAAAGAAAAUACAACAAAUCAUCUGUAAAAACAACCUAGUUUCCACAUCUAUUAAUAGACUUCCACAUCGAUAUCAUACCAACUGCAGAAAAAUAUAGCAAAUCAGCUUUAAAAACAUCUAAUUUUCGAAAAACACUUGAAAACACAAAUAUAUCAUCAAAUUUUCAAAUCUAUAUAACAUACAAACCAAAAGAAACAAGAGAGCAGAUCAGCUUUAAAAACACCUAAUUUUCACCUAUCUAUCAACAGAUUUAAGCAUCAUAUCACACAGAUGGAGAAAGAAUAGCAGACCAGCUAAGAAAAACUACUAAUUUUUGCAAAUCACUUACAAAACACAAAUGUAGUAUCAGACUUCCACAUCUAUAACAUACAAUCUGAAAUAAACAUAUCGCAAAUCAGCUUUAAAAACAAUCAAUUUUCACAUAUCUAUUAACAGAAUUAUGCAUCAUAUCACACAAAAUAGACGAAAAACAGCAAAUCAGCUUAAAAAACAACUAAUUUCGCAAAUCAUUAAGGAAACACAAAUCUACUACCAGAUUUUCAGAAAUAUAUAGCAAAUCAGCUUAAAAAACAACCAAUUUUCACAAAACAUUCUCGUACAAUCUGAAGAAAAUAUAUAGGAAAUCAGCUUACAAAACAAAUAAUUUCCGCAAAUCACUUUAAAAACACACAAAUUUAUUAUCAGAUUUUCACAUAUAUAGCGCAUACAAUCUGAAAGAAACAUAUAACAAAUCAGGCUACAAAUACAAACUAAUUUUCACAUAUCUAUCCAUAGACAAGCAUCAUAUCACACAAAAAUGGAGAACAAAAUAGCAAAUCGGUUAAAAAAAAAAACUUUCAGAAAUCACUUAGAAAACACAAACCUAUUACCAGAUUUUGGCAUAUAUAACAUACAAUCUGAAAGAAACAUAUAACAAUUAUUUUCACACAUCUAUAAACUGAUUUAAGCAUCAUAUCACAGAGACGUAUAAAAAUAGCAAAUCAGCUUACAAAACAACUAAUUUUCGCAAAUCACUUCGAAAACACAAAUCUAUGGAUAAAAAAUAGCAAAUCAACAAAGCAUCAUAUCACACAGAUGAGAAAAAAUAGCCAAUCAAACUACAAAACAACUAAUUUUCGCAAAUCAUUUAGAAAACACAGAUCUAUCAUCAGAUUUUCACAUAUAUAACAUACAAUCUGAAACAAACAUAUAACAAAUCACCUUGUUUUCACAUAUCUAUAAACAGAUUUAAGCAUCAUAUCACACAAAAUGGAUAAAAAAAAGCAAAUCAACAAGGAAACAACAAAUUUUCACAUAUAUAUAGACAGAUUUAAGUAUCAUAUCACACAAAAAGGAGAAAAAAAACAAAUCGGCAAGGAAACAGCCAAUUUUCACAUAUAUAUAAACAGAUUUAAACAUCAUAUCACACAAAAAGGAGAAACAAAAUAACAAAUCGGCAAAGAAACAGCCAAUUUUCACAUGUAUAUAUAACCAGAUUUAAACAUCAUAUCACACAAAAAGGAGAAACAAAAUAACAAACCGGCAAAUAAACAUCUAAUUUUCACAUAUGUAUAAGCAUAUUUCAGCAUCAUAUCAUAUAAAAUGAAGAGAGAUUGUUAUAGAUCUAACCUUUUAGAGUACGAAAAGUGAGAGAGAAACUUUAGCUAAAACCCUGGCCGCUUAUAGAGAAUGAACAACGCAAACCAGCUAGGGUUUGAUUUGAGCUAUGAGAGGACACUUUAUAGUGGAGAAAGCGUAACAACUAGGGCAAGCUGUGCGGCAUUUUGUGUAUGUGUAAUUACAUAAAUGUCCUUAUAGUUAGUGUAUAAUUUCAUUGCCUAACUAAUAUAGGGCGGCGUAAGGGGAUUAUAUAAUAAGUGGGAUUAAUUUUAAUUUUAAUUUUUCAUUAAUAUUUCGUUUGAGAUAUUAGUUAAUUAAGAAAUUAUUUUAUGAGAUGUUCCAAUCCAUUUGGGUUCAUUUGAUAAGCGGAAUUAAUUAAAAUUGAAAUUACCUCAUUCGUUUAUCUUUACUUAUUAUUUGAUAUACAGAGUAUUAAUAUGAAUAUUAUUAUAUCAUUUCGCGAUUGAUUUAUAUUUAGUAUCAAGUCUUGAAAAAUAAUUUAGAGAAAAAUAAUUAAUGUUACUAGUAAAAUAUUAAGAAAAAAGUGAUAGUAUUUUUUAAUAUUUAAAGUGCUAAGUGAAAUGAAAAUCUAUUAUUUGAAAUAUAGGAUAAGUAAAAGUGAAAGAAGGAAGUAAAAGUUAUAAUUUUAGCUUUUCAACAAAAUACAAUAUAAAUUUAAUCUCAAUUCUUAUCUUAAUUUUGAAUAUCUUAUCCAAUAUGAUAUUAUAUAUCUCAUUUAGGGUGUGGAAUAAAUUAGUUCUAAAAUUAUUAUUUAAGAACUAUAUAAUUUUUGGAAUAACUUUCUGAAAACCAAACGAUUCCGAAGAAUAUACUUGCUUAUUUUAUGCUUGUAAGUUGUACCAAAUACUUGUUUUCGCUACAAUUCUUUUCUCCAUUAUUUCAACAUGACUUCUUAACCACCGUAUUUCCUUUUCAUAUGGUUUUAUAUAUGUGUUGCUUAGGUCGAUCGUCCAUUGAAAACAAUGUGAAAGUAGAGGUGAUUGUUCUAUAUAUGUGUUAUUUAGACCGGUCAUCCAUUGAAAAUAACGUGAAGGUAGAGGUGAGGUAAGACUACAUACAUAUACCACUUAUGAGGCUACAUCAGAUAUGAUUGUACAAUCAGGUGCACUUGACCCAAUCGUACAUUGGAAACAACGUUAAGGUACAUCGGAUAUGGUUGUAAGGCUACAUCGGAUAUGGUUGUACAGUCACAUGCACAUGGGACUGAUAGCCCAUUGGAAAUAGCGUGAAGUAGAGGUGAGGUAAGGCUACGUACACAUCCCAUUUGUAAGGCUACUUCGGAUACGAUGGUACAGUAAGCUACACUUGGGGCCAAUCUUCCACAGGAAACAACGUGAAGGUAAGGCUGCAUAAACAUCCACUUGUGAGGCUACAUCGGAUACAGUUGUAUAGUCAGAUGCACUUGGGCCCGAUCGUCCAUUGGAAACAACGUGAAGGUAGAGGUGAGCUAAGGCUGCGUACACAUCCCACUAGUGAAGCUACACAAUCGGAUGCACGUGGGCCCGAUCGUCCAUUGGAAACAACGUGAAGGUAGAGGUGAGGUAAGACUGCGUACACAUCCCACUAGUGAAGCUACACGGUCAGAUGCACUUGGGCCCGAUCAUCCACUGGAAACAACGUGAAGGUAGAGGUGAGGUAAGGUUGCGUACCCAUCCCACUAGUGAAGCUGCACCGGAUACAGUUGUAUCCGGUCAAAUGCACUUGGGGCCAAUCGUCCAUUGGAAACAACUUGAAGGUACUAGUGAGGUAAGGCUGCGUACACACCUAACUUGUGAGACUACACCAAUAUGUUUGUACAGUUGGAUGCACGGGGCCUCUAGCAAAAGGAAACUAUUACCAACUAUUACAUCCAAGAAACUUGAGAAAUAUCUAUGUGCUAUCUCCACAGCUGAGCAGUAAUAAACUGGUUAUCCACAACACCCCAUUGAAAGAGUCUGCCUUAAACAUCUUAUAAUCUAAUGCCCAGUGGGGUAAAAACUUUUAUAGCAAAGAAGAUACUGGUACAAAAUUCAAACGAUAAGUUGAUCAGCCUUCAUUUUAAGUUAGAAAGCGACAACUUCGAGAACAGAUGAUUCACCGGAAUGAACUACCAAAACUGCUUUACUUGAAAAGGAUAACAUAAUUCAACCACAGAUGUCUGUCCCAUGAACUAUGUGAAAUCAACAACUUGGAAACGUACGACAAAGACAACAGUUUCUCUAAGGCCAAGAUAUUGUUUAAAACAAGAAUCUAAGUAAAUUUGGGAGGACAAAACCAGAGUAAACUACAAUCUCAGGAAAAGGGUAACAUUGCUGAUCGCAAUACAGUGGUAGUUUACUUGAAGCACUUUGCAUCCAACAGAGCCUGUCCCUCAAAAGGCUCAUGGUCUUCAAUCAUUUGGCUAACACGUUCCUUCUGGGCUUCAUCGUUGAUGUCUACUUGCUUCCAUUCAUAGAGCUCCAUGUCGUAGACUUCAUCCAUAACGAACUUGGGAAUUUCCUUUCCACGGAAAAGCCACAAGCCUUGCACCUUGAAUGGGGGCUCAGAACCAACAAUCAACAUCUUACCAAAAGCAUACUUGCGCACCAGAUCCAUCCUUUGCAGAAAACCACCAACCUUGUUCAAGGUUACAAACGAAACUGUGUUCUCAUCAUUGUACUUGUAAUCGCAAAACCAGAGAGAAUAUCCUUCAGGGUCAUACAUGUCCCAGAAACCUGCAGAACAACAAUGGCAUGGGGUAAGGUCUUAAACAUUGUCAUGUAUAAAGCUAGGAUUAAAGAGUUGCCAAAAUGGUAAUUGGACAUUUUUAACACAAACUAAAAAGGAAUAAACAAAUUGAAACAACGGGAGUAAUACCUUUAACAGCAACCUCACGGAAGUUGGUCUUGGUGUUGGAGUAAAGCCUCUUCCAAUCAUCCAGAAUCAUCGGACUUGGAGGCAAGAGAUCAAGAGGAUUCUUUGGCUUAGGCUUGGGUGCUGCUUCCUCCUCUGCAGGCUUAGGUUCUUCCUUAACCUCUUUCUUUGGCUCCUCCUUAGCCUUGGGCUUUUCUGUCGCCGGUGCGGGCUUCUUGGAUGGCGGAGCUGGGAUAGAUUCAGCUUGUUUAACCUCACCCAAUAUCUUGCAGAAAUUUGGCUGAUUAACCACAGUCCAGAAGUAUCUCUCUACAUGUGGGAAUUCUUUGGUAAAGCUCUUGGUCAUUAUCACCCCAAAACCAAUGCUCAAGUUGCAGACCAUAAUAAUGUCAGCCAAUGUGAUUGAAUGUCCAACCAAGUAUGUGUUGGAUGCGAGAUGGGUGUUCAAAGCACCAAGAGCUCUCUUUAAUGCAGCUACCGCAGCUUCCUCAGCCUUUUAGCAAAACAAGAAGAAAUUCAGUUGAGUUACUUGUUUUUUAUUAUAAUGGUUCAGAAUAGUUUUUUUUUAAUAAUGCAUAAUACGGUACAUACUGGAGGAAUGUAUACGGCAUAGCCAAGGCGUGGGUACAGCCAACGUGCAAUGUUUGCAUCAACUUCAGUGGCAGAAAAAUCAUUCCAUUGUUCAAUUUGAGCCUACCAAGGAAAAAACAGACAUAAAUGGAGGAAUAAGAAUUUCACGAAUGAAUGUAGCUUCUAAAUGAAUAAAACUAAGAAAGCAAAUCAACUAGGAAUACUUACAUAUUCAAUCAAUGAAGAGCCAAAAAGAAGAUUAUCGGGCUUCGUUUUGGUAACUACAUGAAUUAGUGAAGGUCCAUGUAAGAAUUAACUCUUGUUAUACGAUUGUAAGUCAAAUAAAAGAAAAUGAGACAACGCCUCACCAUAACGUGCAAUAGCAUUGCUCUCAAAAACAGGUCCAUCAGGUGUUUGAAGCACAGGAACCUAUAGGACCAAAAAAACACUCGGAAAUUAGCAAAAUCUGGCUCGAAUACAUGAAUGAAUCAAUGGAAUUCAUUAGAAUAACAUACCUUUCCAAUUGGAUUCAUCUCGAGAAAUUCAGGUGUCUUGUUUGACACACCCAUCUGGAAAUCCUUUGCAAGUUCAACUUUCACACCUGUGUACUCAGCCGCAAUGAGUCCCUUUGCGGCAUUUUUGUUGUUACUUGUUGAAUGUAAAAUCUGCAACAUACAUAAUGAAGACAAUUUAAAAGCUAGUACAUCAGUCAAGAUAUUAAAUCCACAAGGAAGAAGGUAUCAUCUACACUUAUUUUUUAAAGCAUUUUGUUAUUACCACCUAAGUUGCCCGGACUCUUCAAAACUGUUGCCGCACCCAAGUCGGAUCCUCCAAAAAUACAGUACUUUUGAAAGAUUGGACACACAAAAUGACAUUUUUGAAGAGUCCGAGCAAAAUAGAUGACCACACUUGAAGCAUAAUGUCCCAUUUAAUAUCUAUUGUAACACGAUUCCGGAUUGCAAAAUCUCAAUUCUCAGUUAAUAACAUAAAUAAAUUUGCACCCUCCGAUAUCUUUAUCCCAUCCAAUUCUCUUCCCUUCCAUACUUCCAAACAACAGGAUUCAUCACCUCUCUAAAUAGAAAAGAGAUUUCUCCAACAUUCUCCAUAUGUGAAUUCACACUUUCAGCCAACACAAUGAUCAUCUCUACUAAUCAAAACAACUUACUUGCAAGUCUCACACAAAUUCAAAUAGCUAACAAUACAUAUGCAGAUGGAAACAUUCAGCAAAAAAUAAUAAACCUCCUCUUACAUUUAAGAGCCAAACAUUUAGUUGGAAACAAGUAAUACCGUGAUAAGUUAACCCGACAUGUAUACGGAAAUGGAAUAAUCAAGGGACUAAAGAAUACCUCCAACCAAACCAAACGCAACAUAAAAUAAUCAUGCAUUAUAUACCAGGCUUAUUACACCUAAUACCUCACACCAAACGAACCCUUAAUGAUUCUAGAAUACACAUAGAUAACAACAUUUAUCAUCAAAAACAACAACAAUAACAUACACAGAAUAUUCCCACCGGGUGGGGUCCGGGGAGAGUACGUGUACGCAGUUAGAUACGUUGUUUCUGAUAGAAACCCGACUCAAGAUAAAAUAGUAAAAGGACAAGAUACAACAGAAAUUACCACACCCAAAAAUACCAUAAACAAGACUCCUCACCAAGUAAUACAACAAUAUUAGAACUAUAGCUACUAACACGGAUAACUCCUCCCACUAGUACUAACACACUCGUUCUUACUAUCCUUCUACCCUAAUUCGCCUCUUCCACACCUUCCUAUAUCAUCAAAAACAACAACAAUAACAUACACAUACAGUAGAACUAGACUUUUCUCUUCAUCAUUGAAAUCUGCCAUUCAAUCGCAGUGAGGUGCUCUCAAAAAGUUUGAGAAUGCACUGCUGGUAGGAAGAAUGCUGACUUCAUUUCCGAGCUGGGUGAAUCCAAAAGGACUUUCUUUGUUGAACGCGGGAUCCUCUUUUGGUUGUAGUCCCAUAUUCAAACAAGUACGGAGUACUCCUAUGGCCAAUCUGUCACCCAACCUACUUAAACAAGCUAAAGUAUUCCCACCGGGUGGGGUCCAGGGAUAGUAAGUGUACGCAGUUAGAGAGGCUGUUUCUGAUAGAAACCCGACUCAAGAUAAAACAACCUAGCGAAUGAAUAGUAAAAGGACAAGAUACAAUAGAAUUUACCACACCCAAAAAUACCACAAACAAGACUCCUCACCAAGUAAUACAUCAAACGAUACAACAAUAUUAGAACUAUAGCUACUAACAUGGAUAACUCCUCCCACUAGUACUAACACACUCGUUCUUACUAUCCUUCUACCCUAAUUCGCCUCCUCCAAACCUUCCUAUCGAGGAUCAUCAAAGAAACACACGAUCAACUAAAAAAGACGAUGAAAUACACCAACACAGAUACAAAAAUACCAUAAAUAAGACUCCCUCACCAAGUAAUACAUCAAACGAUACAACAAUAUUAGAACUAUAGCUACUAACACGGAUAACUCCUCCCACUAGUACUAACACACUCGUUCCUACUAUCCUUCUACCCUAAUUCGCCUCCUCCAAAACUUUCUAUCGAGGAUCAUCCCCAGUAAGCUAAAAAAGAAACACACGAUCAACUAAAAAAGACGAUGAAAUACACCAACACAGAUACAAAAAUACCAUAAACAAGACUCCUCACCAAAUAAUACAUCAAACGAUACAACAAUAUUAGAACUAUAGCUACUAACACGGAUAAAUCCUCCCACUAGUACUAACACACUCGUUCCUACUAUCCUUCUACCCUAAUUCACUUACUCCACACCUUCCUAUCUAAGAUCGUAUCCUCAGUAAGCUAAAAAGGAAACACACGAUCAACUAAAAAGACAAUGAAAUACACCAACACAGAUACAAAAUACCAUAAACAAGACUCCUCACCAAAUAAUACAUCAAACGAUACAACAAUAUUAGAACUAUAGCUACUAACACGGAUAAAUCCUCCCACUAGUACUAACACACUCGUUCCUACUAUCCUUCUACCCUAAUUCACUUACUCCACACCUUCCUAUCUAAGAUCAUAUCCUCAGUAAGCUAAAAAGGAAACACACGAUCAACUAAAAAAGACGAUGAAAUACACCAACACAGAUACAAAAUACCAUAAACAAGACUCCUCACCAAGCAAUACAUCAAACUAUACAACAAUAUUAGAACUAUAGCUACUAACACGGAUAACUAACACACUCGUUCCUACAAUCCUUCUACCCUAAUUCACCUCCGAUCAUAUCCUCAUUAAGCUAAAAAAGAAACACACGAUCAACUAAAAGAGACGAUGAAAUACACCAACACAGACACAAAAAUCUUUCACUAUAUAUAAAUAAUGCAUCAGAUCUACGUUUACAUCAACAAAAAUUGAAUGAUGAUGAAAAAAAAAAAAGCAACAACUUACCAAAGCCAUGGCCGCACGCACAACAGCUGAAACUAAAGCAAAACAAAAAGAAAAUUAAUCAAUUAGCAUCAUUAUAUAUCAGAAAUGAAGAGAAUAAGUAUGUGAAUUUCAAGAAUUUUACCAAUAAUGUAACGCGGCGGUGAGAUCCAGAGCAGAGAAGAGAGAAAAAGAG
rnacentral:lncRNA from 1 species